CCAUAUGGAGCCCUGUUUUGGUGCCCUAUUGGAGGGGGGGUCAAUUAUGGAGGGCAUCUACAUCGUUCUUGCUGCUCCCAUGGUGAUGUGUGAUUAGUUCAACAUAUACCUACGUGUCCAUAGUUAGUACCUAGUUUCCUAUCUCUCUAUCUCUAUGUUCUUCAUUUCCAUGAUCACCGCGACUCUCGCAGUGAUCUAUCUUAUGUAAUCACUCUUGUGCGGUGCGUUUGUUGGGAUCGAAUGAAUUGUGGGUUUACGUUUAGAUUAUUCAUGAGAUUAUAUUGAGUUCCUUGCUGGUCUUUUCGAAUAUAUGCAUGAUUAUGAUAGCUUCGUAAUUCUUUCCGAUCUAUUGGUUUGCUUUUCCCAACUAGAUUGAUUUAUCUUCACUAGGAGAGGUGCGUUGUAGUGGGUUCAAUCUUGUGUUAGAUAAAUCCCAGUGACAGAAAGGGACGUGUCACGUAUUGUAUUGCUGGCACUAAGGAUGAAACGACGGGGUUGAUUCAUAUUAAUUGGAUUUACUUUGUCUACAUCAUGUCAUUGUUCCCCAAGCAUUACUCUAUUUCACUCAAUACUCUAGAUACAUGUUCGAUAGUGGUCGAUAGAUGGAGUAAUAGUAGUAGAUGCAGGAAGGAUUCGGUCUACUUGGUUAUAGAAGUGAUGCCCAUAUGUAAUGACCAUUGUCAUGAAUAAAUAUUGCUUAACUACGCGAUUUUCUAUCAAUUGACCAACAGUAAUUUAUUUAUCCAGUGUAUGCUUUCGACGAGAGAGAAGCAUCUAACCAAAUCUAUGGCCCUCGGGUCUAUUCAUAAUUAUAAAUAUAAAAUAUAAAAUACCUUGUUGUUCUUAUUUACUUUCUAUUUAUUUUCCAUUUAUAUUUAUCAAACUAUCCAACUACACUACUUAUUACUUGCAAGUAACGAGUUCAAGGGGAUUGACAAUCCUUUUGUCCAUGUUGGGUGCAAGUCUGUGCUCUUAUGUGUGUAGGCGUUGAAGACGAAAAAUUGCAUGGUCCUCCUAUUAGUUCGAUAACCUUGACUCUUACUAAGGGAAAUACUUAUCUAUAUUGUGUUGCUUCAUCACCUCCUCUUCGGCGAAAAACACAACGGAGAUGACAAGUAUCACAAACCGACUUACAAUGCUAUCUCGGGCAGUGCUUUAUUCACGGAACUAUAUUUUCCCCCAGGAAAAUACUAGGUUAAAGCCGACUACAAAUAAAUUAGAAGCAAAAUAUUUACAAGUCUUACAUGUAUUCAAUUUACAUGGGGCUAUCUAAUAUUAGAGACCCAUGCAGUUAUUAUUUAUUAUUUAUGUGCUCUAGCUCUAUGGAUAGUAGGAGUAUUCAUACAAAUGCAAAUCGGCUCCCAGGAGCACGUGCUCCUGCCCAUAAAAAAUGAAUUUUGAUAUGUCAAAAAAAUCCCAACAAAAAUGUUAUGUGUUCUUUGUCACAUCCAAAUGCUAUCUGGAAAUUUUUAGGCAAAAAGAUUAAUCAUUUAAUCGCGUGCAAAAAAACAAAUUAAACAUCUAUAAUGUGAAACCCAAAUUUAUUUAUUUCACCCAGAAACACCACUUCUCCAUUUCGCAUGAAAAUUGUCAAGCAUGCAUGGAAGAGUAACAAGAACAUCUAUAAAAAAUCAGAAUUUUUUGAAAACAUUUACUAUUAUUUUUCGGUUAUUGUUCAUUCGCAUGCAAAUGCACCUGGAAGCCAAAACACCUCCACUGGAGCAUUAGUUCUUUUAAAGUAUUGCACUUACAGACUUUACUAUUUAGAUAUUGCAUAUAAAAAUAUCAAGUAACUAUAAAUGUGUCUUUUGCAAUCAUGAACUAUCUUACUCGGGGACUAUUUUUAAGGCCUUGAAAGAAGAGGCCUCAGUCCUUCUGAGCCAAGAAAAGUAGAUGGGACAUGUCCAAGCUAUGAAUAGUAGAUGAAAAAGGUUGAAAUAUUUUUUGUUGGCAUGGUUGUUAAAUUGUAGGAGGUAUGUGUUUUGUUGCAGUAGUUUCUAAAUGGUAUGGUAACAUGUAUAGUUUCAAGUGUCUAAUUUUAUGUGUAAUAGUUUACCAGGGAAUUGCAUAAUGCAAUCAAGUUUCUGAUUGUAGCAUCUUGAAAUAAGGGAACAAUCCUACAUGUGUUAUCUUUAUUUAAUGGAUAAUAGCAAUAAACAUGCUUUCAUGACAUGAUUCAUUUUAAGCAUAAAAUGCAUCCACGCGCAAUCUUUUUUGUUGUAAUGCAAUGUACAAUAAAGAGAUUUAUGUUUUUAUACCACUUUCUAUAUUAUUUGCACUAGAUCUGAUAGUAUAUGUUACCGAAUGCCAUUGUAAGUGAAGUCGAUUUUAAUUAUUUUUUGUAUGAUAUUGGCUAUUUUUUCUAUAUGUGUGAAAUUUGAUAUGCAAUCAGUAACAAUGAACCUGCAAUGAAAAGAAAGUAUGAAUAAUUUAAUAUUAAAUACUGGUAAUAAUAUNUGGUAAUAAUAUCAGCAAAAAGAACAUUCUUGAUUUUUUAACGUCCGUGGCAACCUACAAACACUCUACUAGUAUGCAUAAUACUUUCUCUAUCCGGAAUUACUUGUGGAGUAAUUCCGGACGGAGGGAGUAUAUGAAUUGAAAAAAUCACCGCCGAGUGGCGUCCGCCUGGGCGACUCGGGAGGCCCCGCGAUCCACUUCUUCCGGCCUUCGUUCCAUGGGCCCAUCCCUCGCUGUCGCCGGUCGGCACCGGCAGGCUUGCACGCGCGGCCGCCGAGCGGCGGCGAGGUCUGUUCCCGUGGCGUUUUAUGCGGCGUUUGGUGAGAUACGAGCAGUGACCAGACGCCAUGAAGGUUAGAAAUUGCAGCAGCAGCGACAGAUCGUGCACUUGGGCGGCGGCGUCGUUGCUGGCAUUCCAUGCGGAUGCAACUUGAUCUUGGCUAGGCAGCGGCCUGGUUGAAGGCAGGAAAACUGCACAAGAGAUGCAGCCGCCAUGUUUCAACAUGGGGAACACGCCCAUGCUAGGGCUGCUGCUCGUGGUUGCCGCUGCGUCCGGCCCUGCGCUGCAUUGGCCAAGCAAUAGCUUUCGCUCGCGCCCGGCGCCCUUGGAUUGGGUUCGUGCUAACUUCAGCCUGGCAUUGUCCCGACGCGGCACCAUGGGUUGAUGACGAGUCAGGUCGGUCAAAUUGGAUGACCUGAUGACUCGUAGUCGUGGUCGAUGCAGGACGACGGUCGUGUCCUUUCCCUCGAUGUGAUCUGCUAGAUAGAUGAGCUAGCAGCGCACGGUGGUGUGUCUUCUGAUGCAGAUCAACCAUCGGUUGCCACUUCUGACGAUCGAUGCUGCGGGGCCUCCAAAGCGUCCCAAACUUGAGACUUUGGCGAUGUCAGUGCCCUGCCUUGUCGUCAAUGACUUCGUCAUGUUGUGCCGAGCAGCUCAUGACACGGUUCAUCAGCUUGCUGGUGCGAGCAGCAUGAACUGUGCGCGCGUCAGACCCAUGAUUAAAGGAGAAGAUUGUUCUUUUACCAAACAUAUGCGGAUCAAAUCACGUCUUAUAAUAAGAAGAAAUCUUUCUCGGUAUCAAUCCCCUUGCCCCUCAUUCUUUGAGAAUCAGAAGGAUCCUUUUCGAGUUUCCAUUUCUUCAUUUGGAAUCAGGGCUUUUCUAUCUUUGACUUAUUUUUUUGGCUUUAUUCUUUAUUUAUUUCAUUUCUAUUUUUCUCUCUUCCUCUAUCCCUAUCGUGUAUGCAGCUGCUGGGAUCGUGGUAAGUGGAGGAGACAACAUUAAUUGGAUGGCUCGAAUUGGAAGGUGCUUCUCGAGUACCUGGUUUUGGGCUCCGGGGUGAAAACCCUAGGUCUCAUAUGAGGGCAUUGCUUGGACUAUGCCCGGACUUGUUCUUCGGGGUGAAAACUUUGUUCUUCGGGGUGAAAACUCAUGAUCGGGCCUUCGGUGUUGGAUUUGACGAUGGCGGCGUUUGCAUGUCGUUCCCUUCUGAAGGCGUCUCUUUUUCGUAAUCUAUGUUGUUAAGAGAUGGUUGGUAUCGAUGGUCACUGUUGUAUAUCAUCAAUUGUUGUUUUCUUUGUUUCGAUUUUUUCUUUUUUUUUCGCUUCACCUACGCGUAGCUUCCGUCUUGUAUGACUUUGCUCUUUGCCGUCGUGAUCUUGUGUAUGUGUUAGCUGUGUGCAUCAUAGCUAUGCAGAGGUCGGUCGGGUGUAUACUCAUUAUGAUUGAAUCCGUUGAUGCUACAUUAUGAGUCAAUAAAUAGCGCUCUUUAUCGAAAAAAAUAUUAUAUGCAUAUGCCCAAUCAGGACAGUUUCCAUCAUCCUGCCAUGAAAACAUGCUUAGGUACAGAUAAUGAAAUACUAUUCACCUCCUACCACGAACCUCCUUGUAGCUAAAAGUUCUCUGCCAUCGUCUCCUACACAACAUGUAUGCACCUCCCUUUAGUGGGCGGGAAGGGUAUCCGACGUACAGUGGAGAGCAGUAGUUCAAUUAAUUAGAUGUGCAAGCAAUCCUUGUGAGCAACGGUUUGUACUGAAUCCCAAAACAAGAAAAUUCAGAGCAUGAACUGAACUGGUGGUGGACAGAAAUUUCAGAAUGAUUUUCCCAGAUCUAAUGGCCAGAAAUAAUAAGAAGUGGAGUUACAAGAAAUUACAAAUCGUAACUCUCCACUCACCGUAAAAAAGCUCGAGCUCGCUAAGCUCUCAGUCAACAAGGAAACAGCAUGCACUAGUGGCGAGUCACCGUAAAUACAUCCAAGUUUGGCUGAAACCAUAUGGCGUUCAUGGGCUCCUUGACACAGAAGGAAGGGUAGUAGCAUUGCUCCUGAAAUGAAUAGAACGCAUGUGUCCUUCCACCACCUUCAGUCUCUUUAUAGUUCGGUAGGAUCAUCUUGUUACAUAAAUCUUCUCCGGCCGGCGGGACAGCAACCAGAGCAUUGCACCUAUCCCAGAACACGGUCGCAUCAUCAAUACCUUGCAAUUCCGUCCAAAGCAUCUGAGACCGGUCUAGCUUGAACAUUCUGACUGAUCCAUUGGCAUUCUUCCUGAAAAUGGCAAUUAGCUCCCCUUUCCACUCUACCAGAUAGUUGCACUCCCGUUCACGAAGAUGCACCUCAUCGCUUCCACGUAUCGGUUGAUCUGGCUUUUUGAGGACGCGAAAUUCCAUCUCAUCCUCGUUCGGGUCCACGACUCCAAGCCUACCAUUGAUGUCCAGAAAAUAGAAGACUCCGUCUAGGAAGACAGGGCUGUGAGAUGCCAUGAAGAACGGUGCGUCAUCGUCGCUUAAGCAUUCUUCCUUCCACUCUUCAUCUCCCAUUCGCCAUGUAUUUACGAUGACAACUUUGCCGCUUGGGGUAGAUCCUGCGGCAAGGACCACGAAGUCCGAAGAUCCUGGCACUGAAGAAAACGACAAUCCUUUGAGGCCAAGGACAUCCAAAGGUGGAAGAGCAAUCACAUGGCCACCAUCCGAGCAAUUCUUGAACGGAUUCACUAGGAAGAACAUGUGAUCGCCACCUCUCGACAUGAUGACCCAACCGUUCUUUGUAAAAUGCAAUAAAUGCGAUGUCCGCGAUUUGAGACCUGAAACGGGGAUGUCAACUCUGAUGAUGUAUUUCUUGUCGCUCACUGGAUCAAAGAUCUCGAGAGAAUCCUCCUUUGUCCUUCCUGUUGACCGAAUUCUCAUGAGCAAUGGCGACACUUUUGCAUCCUGGAUCGGGCUAUUAUUGGAGUUCCACUGCUUGCAGACAACAUUAAUGUGUAUGCGGUCGCUCAAUGACAUCUUGGAUACUAGUAGCUGCAGCAAGUCGGUGUCGAGUUCACCCCACUGCCUCUCCUCUUGAGAGGCCGCAGUGCCCUCUUGUUCUUCCUCUCUGCGGCAAUGUGCAGUUCUUCUUUGAAUCACCUAUCAAGUAUAUAGGUUAAUUUGCCUUGUUUAAUUCUAUUUUGCACUAAGCUAGUCAAAUGAGUUAUCAAUAUCAUCAUAAUGUACAGACUUACCUCAUUGGAGACAUCAGCGGGAAUGUCGAUGGAUCGUGCUGCUUUCAGACCGAAGCUGGUACAUACAUAGAAACAUUAAACCAUCUCACAAAUACUAUUACCACUCCUACUAAUCAAGCGAGUGAAUUAAACUUACCUAGUGGGUAGAGCCCAGAAUAGUUGGUCAUCACCACAUCCCUCGACUACACUGAGCAUUAUGGUCAUAUUGUCCAGAGACAUGGUAUAGACACCAGAUUCACCGCAAUCUCUAUGAAGCAUAUGGAUGCAGUUGGGCUGGGUUCCUGCUUCAGAGGCCGAUGGGACUGCAAAAGAAAACAUGCCCACGAAAAACGUUCUGUCCCCAAUGGUUUCAACCGUCUCCCACGCGUUUUCAUCUCGGUUCCAUUGAAAAACCUUCAGAUCCACUACCUCCGACGGGUAGCCAAAGUUGCAGCAGCGCACCAAGAAGAGAUCUCCACUAGGGCAUGCCACCGGGUAGCACUUGUACCCUGCAUGCGCGGGGCAGGACGGCGGAUGCCACAUGUCCGUCCGCUCGACGGCCAACGUCGGACUCGACGCAUCGGCGGCCACCAGGGACACCAUGGUCGUUGCGUACACCUUCCCCUGCCGGUCGGCGGUUAUGGGGCCGUCGAACUCGUCUCCCUCCUCGGGGAGGUCCACCGGGAGGCGAGACCACCCGGGGUCGCCCGGACGGCAGUGGAUGAGAGACGUCAUACCGGUGAAAAAGCUGAGUACAACGGUGCAGUUGGGUGGGGUUUGCGACGAGAGCGCGCAGCUGAACAGUAGCUGCUUUGGCACCUCCUCGGGGAACGGCGGAAGGGCGAUCACAGUGGGGGACGACGGCGACGCAUCAUCAUCAGCGAUGCUCACGAGGGAGCACCCGUUGGUAACCUCGUCGAGCAUGAGCGACCAACCUCCAUCCACGCCCAGGCAUCGUUUCCCUUGCAGCACCGGCAUGUCCGGCGUCUCGUCCGAGCGGCGGCAUCCGUCCAACGGCGCGACGAGGACCGGUUUGCUCGUCCCGUUGAAUUGUACCACCCACGGUGGCUGCUGCGCCUUGGCCAUGAAGUAGGGUUCUUCGAUGUCUGUUCCGGAGCGCGUCUCGAACUCUGGAUAUCGAUUUCUUUUUGGGGGAGAAACGUCUGGAUCUGAUCAUAUAUAUGGAGAGACCUGGUCCGUCCGUGUCCGUCAGGAACUUAGAAGUGUUUGUUGGUUAGCGAUUUUUCCACCGGCUUCCGAUAACGUCGGCCUCAGAAAACGAUACGAACGUUUGGGUUCGGCUGGGCCGGUUUUAAUAAUCAGAUAACAGCGCUUCGCAAACCUGAAAACAGCCCGUACCAGCUGGCUUCCAAAUACAAAACCAAUCCGCUUCAACUAACAGAUCGUGUAAUCACAAGAAAUGUAAGCUAACACACUUGUAGAAAGCAACUACUUAACAAGCGCCUUGAUAAAUGGGGACUGAUCUGCGCGGCCCAAACUUUCGGCAGGCCGCGCGCGGGCCGCACGAUCCACCAACCCCCGCGCGUCCGCAUCGUUGGUUCCGCAUGCAACAUUUUUCCUUUUAUGCUGCAAAAUUUCGAUGCGAUGCAGCAAUUUUUUCAAUGGUUGCAACAAAAAAUAAAAUUUGUAGGAAAAAAAAUAUCUACAUGAUCGUAGCAAAAAAAUGAAGCUGAUGGUACGUGGUAGCAAAAGUCAAACGCCGGUUGUAACAAAUAUUUACGUGACGUGUAUGCAACUUUUUUAGUGAACGAUUGCAGCAAAACAUGAUGCCGGUUGUAGCAAAAAUUAACACGGUUGUAGCAAAAGUAAAAAAACAUCGAUCGUAACGAAAAAUCCGACGAACUAGAGUUGCAACCAAACAUAUAUGCAGCUUUCUUACUGGGACAAAAUGUAGUAAAAAAUGGUUGCAGCAAAAAUAACGCUGGUUGCAACAAAUUUAGAUGAAAAAUGUUGCAUCCACUAACCAGAGAAGCGCGCGGGUGGGAAAAAUGUUGCAUGGGUCCGCGCGCGCGAGGGGGCGACCGGCGCGUUGGUUCGGCCGGCGCGCGGGUGGGAAACGAUUGCCUUCAUAAAUUUGAUCUAUGGAUGAAAGUAUUUCACAAACUGAACCGUAUUUGAAAAACAAUUCACAUAGAUCAUUUUGUGUGGCGUCCGACAAUCAAGUGUCACACUACACUGUGUGGCGCCGCCGCGUAUGCCUUAAACGUCACACUAGGUCUCGGACGCCAUACAACAUAGUAUCGGACGCCACAUAAUAUAGUGUGGCUUCUAAGGCAAAUGUGCUACAUAAAAGGGUUAGACAUAUGAAUUUUUUCGCCGACAGUUCAUUUUGUGAAUUAGUUUUGUUCUUGGGUCAAAAUUUUCCAUUUUUCCCACCUUCAGAAGUCUCCUAGCAAUCACUUCCACGUGCCGCCACGUGUCACGCUCUGAGUGUUUCCUCCGGAUUUCAUUUUUUUAUUUUUCCUUACGCGUUUCGGCUUUUCAGAUUGCUUUUUUUUCAAAAGAAAAUGUCGUUUCGAUUUUUUACCGGUCUUUCUUAGUUUUUUGACAAAAAAUAUAUUUUACGCAAAAAUCUUGUUUUUCUUUCGUGAGCGGCAUGGUUUUGCUUCAUAGAGAGGUACGGUUUUGUCUUCGCUAAAGGCAUGGCCGUGCCUCUCGGAAACGAAAAAAACAUGUUUUUUGUUUUUUUAGAGGCACGAUUUGCUUUCGUGAGAGGCACAGUUUUGCCUUCGCGAAAGGCCGUGCCUCUUGAAAAGAGAGAAAACAUGUUCCUUUUUUGCGAGAGGCACGAUGUUUCUUCCGCGAGAGGCAUAGUUUUGCCUUUCUGAGAAGCAUGCCCGUGCCUCUCGAAAAGAAAAAAACGCGUUUUCUUUCGCGAGAGGCACGAUUUUGCUUUUGUGAGAGUCACAUUUUACCCUUGUGAGAGGCACGGCCAUAUGUCUCGGAAAGGGAAAAUGAGUUCUCUGAAUUUUUUUUCCUAUCGUAAGAGGCACGGUUUUUUUGUCCGUCUUUCUCGUAAAAAAUGUUCGUCAAAAUCUAUCAACAUGAGAUCUAGUUUUGAAGAUCUCGAAGCGAGAAACCCAACGGUGAAAACAGUUCAAGAUUUGGACAUACGGUUUAGGAGAUAAACCAUUUUGAAAAUAUGAAUCUACGAAAGAAAGGAAAACUUCCACGUCGCAACAAGUGGCAGGCAUGCAAUACGCCACUUGUCACAACAUCAGAAGGUAUGAGUGAUCUUUGAAAGGUGUAGUCCUCAAUUAGUGAUUUCGACAGUUGUAUCCUUGUUUCAAGAGAAACUAGUUAGCGAGCGCUUCCUCUGGAUUUCAUUUUUUUUCCGCACGUGUUUUCGGCUUUUUAUAUAUUUUUAGUUAUUUUUUGGGUGUUUGGGUUCUUCACGGGUCUUUCUUAGAUUUUUGAUAAAAAAUAAGGAAAAUUAAUUUUUGCACGAGAAAACGUAUUUUUUUUCAUGAGAGGCACGAUUUUGCCUUCACGAUAGGUACGGUCAUGCCUCUUGGAAACGGAAAAAAUACAUGUUUUUCGACAGACACGGUUUUGCUUCCAUGAGAGGCAUUAUUUUGCUUUCGCAAGAUGCACGAUUUUGCCUUCGCGAGAGGCACGGUCGUGCUUCUGAGAAAGGGAAAAAAAUGCGUUUAUGUUUUUUUUCACGAGAGGGACGGUUUUGUCUUCUGAGAGGCAAGCCCGUGCCUCUCGGAAAGAAAAAAAAACACGGUUUUUUUUUUGCGAGAGCCACAGUUUUGCUUCCGCGAGAGGCAUGGUUUUGCCUUAGUGAGAGACACAGCCGUGCCUCUCGAAAAGGGAAAAACAUGCAAAAAAACGUGUUUUUUGUAUUUUUUGUAGCAAGAGGCAUGGAUUUUUUGGUCCGCUUUUUUCAUGAAAAAGUUCGUCAAAACUUAUCAACAUGGGAUCUAGUUUUAAAGAUCUCGGCGCGAGAAACCCAACAAUGAAAACGGUUCGAGAUUUGAACGCACGGUUUAGGAGAUAAAACGUUUUGAAAAUACGGAUCUACAAAAAAAAAGAAAACUGCCCAAGUUNNNNNNNNNNNNNNNNNNNNNNNNNNNNNNNNNNNNNNNNNNNNNNNNNNNNNNCCCCAAGUUGCUUGCAUGCAGUGCUCCAUUUGUCGCAACCUGGGAGGUGGGAAUGAUAUUCGAAAGGAAUACUCCUCAACUAGUGAUUUCGCCUUAUUUCAGCAUCCAAUACGUUACCCGUUCCGACCAAACGCGUCAUGCCCCUAUGCAGCGGGCCGACAAGGCGGUUGCUUUCAUGUCCCUGGAUAAUGAAGAUGCCCCGGCCAUCAUCGACUUCGCGGUAGCCUGGCGCUCUGUCGUAGGGAAGCUGCUGGUCGGGCGACUCCUUUCGCCGUACCCUACUGGCCCCGAAGCCAUCGUUCAUGAGACCGUGGCGUGCCCGUGGCAAGGUACAUCAUGACGUCAGAGACAACGCCGCAGCAACGGGGACAUAACAGAAGGAGAGGCACACAUGAUGAAGUCGCCGUCGCCGCCUCGCCGACACCCUCCAUGAACCCUAACAUCGCCGAUCUGAAGGAUCAACAAACACAUGAUGCCAUCAACUUCGAGACGUCGCCAUAAAGGACAACGCCGGUAUGGAAGUGAAGUGGAAGCAGAUUUAUUUGUCCGAACGCCGUUCCACCACCCCAACAACGCAACACGACCUACAGAUGGGACUGCUUCAAUUCACCAAAAUCAGCUUCAUUUCAUCAAAUUCAUUUCGAAGCAGUUUCAUACAGAAGCUAUAGCACUAUCAAGAGAAUGUUUGGCUUCCAUCUAGCUCCAGCUUCAAGAAUAUAAAAUUUGAUGGAAAGAAUCUAUUUGAUUGGUUGAGGAGAAAGAAAUGAAGGGGUAUCCACUUAUUGGUUUCAGUGGUGGGUAAUUUCCCCCCAACUCCAGCUUCUAGAGUUUUUUGGAGCACCCUCUUACUAGCUUCAUAAAAACUUUGAAGUUGUACUUCAGAUUCUAGUUUUUUUACGGAACGGCAUAUCGUGAAGCUAUUCCGUUUGACUUGUUUUUUCUGAAGCAGAGCUGAGUUUUAAGGAGCAAAACAGUACAAAACAGUCUCUAACUACACAUCGGAGGAACGGCCUCCCCUUCAUCCUGCCGCCGAAGCAGCGGUUGGAGGGAGAGGGGCAACACCCUGACCGGUGGAGAUUCGGUGACAAACGCCUCCCUAGUCACUUGGCUCCUGGCGACGUCUAGGCUAGGAAAACUCCUGUACAAGCUAGCUCACCGAUAUAGAAGUAUUAGGCUCGGUUGAUCGGAUGCGCAGCUCUCGGCCGAUCAGAUGGCGUAGCGCGCGGCGGGCGUGAGAGCUAUAAUCAGCCGGCUAAAUGGAAGUCUUUUCCAUAAAAUUGGCUAUUCCCCUAAAAAAGGCAAGAAGAAUCGAAAGCUGCAACAGAUUCAGCGCAUAACAUUAGUAUCGAUCGAAGUCAAGCCCGACACGGACGGACUAGGUUGACCUUUNGAAGAAGAAUCGGAAGCCGCAACAGAUUCAGCGCAUAACGUUAGGAUUGAUCGAAGUCAAGCCCGACACGGACAGACUAGGUUGACGUUUUAUGUAGCCACAUCGAUGCUGUGCAACAGUUGGGAACCUGGGAUCGAAGGAGUUAGAUCGAUGGCCAAGACGACGCCGCCGCAGCCGCAGCAGCCAUGGGUGAUCCAGUUCAAUGGCACGAGCAAACCCGUCCUCGUCGCCCCGUUCGACGGAUGCCGCCUCUCGGACGAGACGACGGACAUGGCGGCGCUCCAUGGGAAACGAUGCCUCGGCCGGGAUGGAGACUGGUCGCUCAUGCUCGACCAGGCCACCAACGGGUGCUCCUUGGUGAGCUUCGCUAAUACCUCGCCGUCGGUAAUCGCUCUCCCGCCUCUACCAGACGCGCCCAAACCAUGCCGAUGGUUCGUCUGCGCCCUCUCCAAGCAAACCCCGCCCGAUUGCACCGUUUUUCUAGAUUUCGCCUGGGACAGGUCCCUUCUCCACUGCCGCCCUGGCGACCCCGAGUGGUCACGCCUCCCUGUGGAGCUCGCCGAGGAGAACGACACGUUCGACGGCCCCAUAAUCGCCGGCUACCACCGGAAGGUGUAUGCGACAACCAUGGCGUCCCUGGUGUCCAUCGACACAUCCGGCCCGACGCCAUCACUCAUAAGGACGGACAUGAGCUGCCCGCCGCGGUGCCCCGUGCACGACGGGUACAAGUGCUACCCGGUGCCGUGUCCUGGCGGCGAGCUCUUUUUGGUGCGGUGCUGCAUCUUUGGCGACCCGGACGUGGUGGAUCUCAAGGUUUUCCUAUGGAAUCAGGAGGAGGAUGCGUGGGGAACUGUCGAAACCAUCGGGGAUAGAACAUUUUUUGUGGGCAAGUGUUCUUUCGCUGUCGAGGCAGUUGAAGCAGGAACCCAACCCAACUGCAUCCAUGUGCUGCGUCAAGUUUGCAACGAAGUAGUUAUCUACACAGUGUCUCUGGAUGAUAUGACCAUUGGGCUCCGUGUAGUUGAGGGAUGUGAUGGUGAAGAAGAUGGUGAGGAGGAGCGAGUAUUCUGGACUCUUCCCACGAGGUAAGUUUAAUUCCACCUCGUCGAUUUGAAACUAUUUAUGUGCUUGUUCAUUAUGAUAUGAUUUAGAGAUGUUUUAACGUUUCCAUACAUGUAAUUGCAGCUUCGGUCUGAAAGCUAUACAAGCCAUCGAUACUGUUGAUGAUGCCUGCGAUGAGGUAUCUAUGCACAUAAUAAUUACUCCUCUGUCCCAAAAAAGUUGUCUUAAAUUUGUCUAGAUAUAUAUGUAUUUAGUCAUGUUUUAGGAUUUAUAUACAUUUAUUUCUAGAUAAAUCUAAGACAAGAAUUUUGAAACGAAGGGAGUAUAUUAUUGCUAGUAACAAAUUCAAUUAGCUUACUGCAAAUUAACAUUGUUAAAGAAAGAGAGAAAAUUGAGUGGCAAAUCAACAUUGAUGUAAACAGGUGAUACAAAGAAGAAUUGAAGAUUGUUUGGGAGAGCAAGAAAAGGAGGACAUGAUGAUGCUUAACGCGGCCUCUCCACAGGCGAGGCACUGGUGUGAUCUCCAUACCGAUCUGUUGCGGCUGCUAGUAUCAAAAAUUUCAUUCAUCGAUUUCCUACAUCUGAAAGCUGUCUGCAAGCAGUGGAACUCCAUAGAAAGCCCGAUAUAAUGUGCAAAAGGGUCGCCAUUGCUCAUGAAACCCCGCCUAGCAGGAAGGACAAAGAUGAUUUUCUCGAGGUCUUCGAUCCGAUGAGCGAAAAGAAGUACAACAUCAGGGUAGACAUCCCUGCUUCAGCUCUCAAAUCACAAGGUACGCACUUGCUGCAUUUUGCAAAGAAUGGCUGGAUCAUCAUGUCAAGAGGCGGUGACCACAUGUACUUCCUAGUGAAUCCGUUCAAGAAUUACCCGGAUGGCGGCCAUGUGUUUGCUCUUCCACUUUUGGAUAUCCUUGGACUCAAAGGAUUAUCGUUCUCUUCCAUGCCCGGUUCUCCGGACUUUGUGGUCCUUGCCGUGGGAGCCACGCCAGACUACGAAGUUGGCUUCAUUCAUACAUGGCGAAUAGGAGACAAAGAGUGGAAGGAACAAAAAUUCCGAAAUUUUGAUGUGCCGUUCUUCAUGGCAUCUCACAGCCCCGUCUUCCUUGACGGCGUCGUUUAUUUCCUAGACAUCAAUGGCAGGCUCGGAGUCGCGGACUUGAACGUGGAAAAGAUGGAGUGGAAGGUCCUUGACAAGCCAGAUCAACCGUUACUUGGAAGUGACUAUGUGUAUAGAAAUCGGGAGUUGGACUAUAGCUAUCUAGCGGAGUGGAAAGGUGACCUAGUCGCCAUUAUCCGAGAAAACGGCAAUUUUGGGUUCAUCAGAAUAUUUAAGCUUGAUCGGUCUAGGAUGGUGUGGACGGAUUUGGAAGGGAUGGAGGAUGCUGCCGUCUUUUGGGAUAGAAGCAAUGCUCUAAUUGCAAGGCCAGCUUGCGGAAGGGAUUUAUGCAACAAGGUGUACUUUCCGAGCUGUACUAAGACUGACGACGGUGAGCAGGCCUACUACUGCUUAAAAGAGCAAGAAUACCCUUCCCUUUGUGCCAAUGAGCCGAUGAAUGCCAUAUGGUUCGAGCCAAACUUGGAGGACAUACUUUAGGUGCCCCGAUUAGACCAUGAAUCCCAUAUGCUGAAAAGUUCUCCUUUGUUAUCUACAACAAACAUGGGGAACAAAGCUUUCGAGUAGUGUUCUCAUUUUUAUGUGAUGUAAACUUUUAAACUAGGCUAUCACCUUUUUCCAUUAAUCUAGAUCAGCAAUGCAUUUCUUAUUUUAUAUAUACUAAUUUCUGGUGGUUCAACACCAAUCGUGUCGAACAUAUUACUUGAUCCUUAUGCACAUGGCAUUGUUGUCUUUUUUCUGUGGGUUGUAUCUAUAUAUAAAUGGGGUGAAGUGUAUAGUCUACCUUACACGCCGCCUCCAGCCCCUCCAUUAUCCUUUAUUCAUUUUCCACUACUUGGCUCACAGUCACUCACGUCCGUAGUGUACCUCACACAUCGCCUCCCUCCCUCCCAUUGUCCUUUAUUCCUUUCCCACUAAUUGGCUCACAGUCAUUCAUGUCCGUAAGAUAAAAAAAAUGUCUUAUAUAAAAGUAUUAAAAAAAUAUCUCAUGAAUAAUUAUAAUCAAGCAUCGAAAAUUAUCUUUUCUACACAAGUCACUUUUUUUUCUUUUUCUCUGAAAUUUUGUGCAUCAACAUAUAAUGUCCGAAUGUACACUUGGAAUUUUUCUCGUUUCUUUUACUUUCUAAAACACUCCGUUCCUAAAUAUAAGGUAUUAUUUUAAAAAAUAAUUAAACUUGUCUAACUUUGACCGAGUUUGUAGACCAAACUCGGUCAAAAUUAAUUGCUCCUCAUAAACUUGUCUAAAUAAAAGGGGUAACUUUGACCGAGGGAGUAUGUAUUAAACAAUGGGUGCAUUCUACACCUACGAGCCAAAGUGAAUUGCUCCUCAUAAACUUGCAAAGGCGGCCACCACUCUUGGGUUUUUGCCGUCAUAUGUGCCUGCUGGAUAAACUUGCAAACUGCUCAAGAAAAAAAUAUCAUAGGUCAUAAGAACAGAUUGAGAUGAAAGUCAAGCCUCGCAUAAUCAAUCGAUCCUGACGCAUUGCGGAACAGAGAUCGAAGAAGCCUAUCAUGGCCAAGAAGUAGCAGCCGCCAUGGGUGGUUCAAUUCAACAGGACGAGCGGUGAACCCGUCCUCGUUCGACGGUUACGCCCAACCAGUACGUGGAGACGACGACAAACGUGGCGGCGCUGCUAGGGAAGUGAUGCCUCGGCCGGGAUGGGGACUGGUCGCUCAUGCUCGACGAGAUCAACAAUAAGUGCUCGCUCAUUGGCUUUGCUGAUAAGUCGCUGUUGGUCCCCACUGUGAUCUUUCUCCCGCCAUGGCCCGAGAACGCGCCACCGCCAUGCCUGCGGUUUGGCUGCGCGCUCUCCGCGGCUCCAUAACUGCUGCCAGCAAGGGAACAUGUAUGCGACGAUUAUAAAACAAAGUUCAUCGAUUCUGGAAAAAAGUUCAUCCAAUUUUUAAAAAGUUAAUCGAUUUUGGAAAAAAGUUCGUUGAUUUUAAGAAAAAAGAAUCAAUUUUGGGAGAAUUUCAUUGAAUCUGGGAAAAGUUCAAUGAUUUUGAAAGAAAAUCUAAUUUGAAAACAAAUCAUCGAAUUUUAAAAAAGUUCAUCAAAUUUGAAAAAAAAUCGUUAAAUAAGAAAAAAAGGUUCACGAAUUUAAUAAAAAACACGCAUUAGAAUGAAAAAAAGGUGAGAAAAAAAACAAUCUAGAAAACAAAUAAAAGGAGAAAUACGAAGUAUUUACGCAUCAUUGGGGUGGUGGCCUGGUUGUUAGAGCUGAACGCCCUCUGUCAAGCUGUCGCAGGUACGAACCCUUGGGCGAGCAACGUUUUUUAAGGUUUUUUAAGUGUUUAAAGCUAAGUACAACUUUGUAUUAGAACUAAUACAAAGUUGAGACGCUUAUCUUGGGACGGAAUGAGUAGGAAAGAGAAAGAGGAUAGGCCGGCAUAGUUCGAACUGCUUCAGGCGUCGAAUAGGGUUCGUCCGUCGAACCGGAACCUCUGAUUGGGUGGCUUAAGGAUGUGUUUGGUUGCAUUUCCAUCUAAUAUAAUUGUUUCCUUUUCAUGCAUGCUUAUCUCAACACUUUUUUUCAUGUACUCCCUCCGUUCCUAAAUAUAAGUCUUUGUAGAGAUUUCACUAGUGGACUACAUACGGAUGUAUAUAGACAUACUUUAGAGUGUAUAUUCAAUCAUUUUGCUCCGUAUGUAGACAUCUAGUGAAAUCGCUUAAAAGACUUAUAUUUAGGAACGGAGGGAGUAUGUUUUUUUCAUGCAUGCUGAGUAGGAGAACUAGCGCCCAUAUGCUCUCAGAAUUCUGGGCCAGCCCAAUAAAAUGCGACGUGGUUACUUGCCCUGAUCUUAUAGUGGUUCGCUCAAAAAAAAAAUGUAUACUGGUUUAUAGGUCCAAAAGGAAAGAUCCGGUUCGUUUAGUCAUGGUUAACUGGUUGCUGGCUGACUAGUUGAUCGGCCGACCUUUGAUUUUAAAAAUAAAAUAAAAAGGGAAAUAGAAAAAAAGAUGAUUCUAUUUUUUUCAUGUAUUUUGGUAAAAAGUUCAUGAGUUUGAAACAAGGUUCAUUAUUUUUUAUAAAAAAUCUUUCAAAUUACUAAAAAGUNNNNNNNNNNNNNNNNNNNNNNNNNNNNNNNNNNNNNNNNNNNNNNNNNNNNNNNNNNNNNNNNNNNNNNNNNNNNNNNNNNNNNNNNNNNNNNNNNNNNNNNNNNNNNNNNNNNNNNNNAAAGAAAAAGAGAAAAACCGAACAAAACCCAGUCCAGAAGAAAACCUAAACGAAAAAAAAAACGGCAUGAAAAAUCGCUCUCCGAUCGAUCCAAGUCAACCCCGAGACGAUCGAUCUGGAUCAGUUCUGUAUAGACACAGACACGGACGAGUUAAUUAGGUCCGUACUCUCAAACUUCCAUAUAGCCACAACAGAUCGAUCGAUCGAUCCACACGUACGCGCUGCCCAACAGAGAUUGACUGAACAACCCUAGCCCAUGGCCAAGACGCUGCAGUCGCCAUGGGUGGUUCAGUUCGACGGGACAAGCAAACCCGUCCUCGUCGCGCCGUUGUACGGAUGUCGCCGCUGGGACGAGACGCCGGACAUGCCGGUGUUGCAAGGAAAACGAUGUCACGAUCCCGGGCCCUGUGGUGACAGGCAGGAAUAAUAUAUACUGACCACUAUACCACAACCUCUUCGUUGCUAUAAUAUUCAUUGUUACUGUUUUUCUGAAAUGAAAGGGCCCCUGUUCCACUUUAUUAAUGAAACAACGAACAUAUAGGUUCAAUAGGCCAACAUUGAAUUAAGCACCUAACACCCUGUCACUAACCAGAAAAGCACGGAACAAAGUAUAAGCCACCUUGUUAAAUUUUGUUACAUCGAUCAACUAUAGCUAGGAAUGAAGCUACGAGGGAAAACACCAUCAAACUUCAGAUAAACACAAUACGGGAUUCAAUGCUUGCUCCGUACAGACGGUAUGACAUUCACAAUUAAUAUCCCCAUGCAAAGAUAUUUCUAUAGUUGUACUAUACUCAUCAUUUAUAGAUUCGCACUAGUGGGGACGGGGCCUUUAGCCCCGACCCGUAAGGGGCUUUAAUCCCGGUUCACCAACCGGGACUAAAGGGGCGGGACUAAAGGCCUAACCUUUAGUCCCGGCCCUGUUACAAGCCGGGUCUAAAGGUGCUCCACGUGGGCGCCUCGUAGCGCCCCAGGGGCAGGACCUUUAGUCCCGGUUCCUUACACGGGCCGGGACUAAAGAGUUUCAGAUUUUGCUUAUUUUUGGGGGUUUUUUUUGAAUGAAAUUGUUUUUGGGUUUUAGGGUUUUAGGGUUUAGGUGUUCGGAAGAUUAACGUGAUGCCUCGUUUGGUGUUCGGGAAUUAGUUUUCAUAUAAUUUAAAUAUAAAUAAUUAUGCAUAUAUAUAUAAGGUUAACUUAUCUUACAAGCGAGCAUAUAUAUACAAUUAUAUGGAGAUCUGAAUUAUCGGGACUAGAGCCCGUCUAUUCGAUUACAUGGACGAACAUCAGUAAUGGCCCCUAGCUAUACUAAAUCGUCCUUUGUCAUCUAUAGCUUCCGUCCUCAGAAAGGUCGCAAGCUCCUCUGCAACAGCAAUCGCGCGUUGCUCUGGUAGGACCUUCGUCGUCAUGGCCGUGUGCUAUAUAAGAAGAGGAGAUGAAUAUGAAUAUCAAUCAUGAUAACAAAGAAUGACGGAUAAAAAUAGAGGUGUGAAUGUUCAUUGCUUACGUCGAAUCUGUGAUCCUUGUGCUCAGAGGUAAACGUGUGAAUGGUCUCGCAAACAUAGUAUCCGCAUAGAUGCGUUCCCCGUGGCUGCUGGUCGCACUUUACGAGAAUAGAAUAUAUAUAAUCAAAAUAAUAAUCUAGCAUCAUAAAUGUAUUGAAAAUAGAAGUAUAUCAUACUACUACUUACCUGAGCCGCUCUAAAGGUCAGCUUCUCAUGCUCGAUACCGGAGGUCACGCACUUGAACCGCUUCCAAACCCUGCCCAACAAGGAUAAUGAUGUGCUAACUUUUUCAUUAAUUGAUAUAUCAGAAAAUCAUCGAAAGAGACCGAUAGAGCGCAAGAAUGAUUGAAAUUACCCUUGGAGCAUGUCCUGCAGGAUUUGGAACUGUUUCAAGGGUCUCGAUAAUGGGUCGAAGGCAUCAACUCUUCCCUUAUCAAUUUGAAUGUCCAACAGAAUCCAAUGGAAGCUGCACAUGUAUAUAUAUAUAUAUAUAUGUGUGUCAGUAACUUAUCAAUUACACUUAUAAGUGAAUGGACACAACAGAGUAAAGACCCUCACCUGAAGUUGUAUGGAAACAGUAUGUGGUCACAGAAAUUUUGAUCUGUUAGAAACCUUAGAAGGUUUUCCUCCGUCUCCUUGGGAUAAUUAGUUAGCGUCGCUAUAUGUAUUUUAUCUGGGUCAAUAAACCCAAUAUUUAGGAUGCUCUUACUUUUACAAUCCAGAAUCUUCUGCAUAAUAGAGUACAAGUUAUAUAUAGACAAUGAAUUGAAAUAACUAAACACGUUAUAUGUAGACAACAAAUUGAAAAACUUACAGACAAUAGCAACUCAUAAGCGAUUUGUCGAGGGCGUCGCCAUUGUACAUCUGGAAGAGUUCAUCAAAGUCGAUAUGGAUUUGUUCGGGGCGGCCGUAGUACUCCUGUGGGACACUCCGCACGAUCAUCGUUCUCCCAUUCUUUGAUUCACUUAAGUACCAUUGAUGCAAGUAACGCAUAUUUGUUGGGAGAUCAUCUUUGCUGACCAAAGGCUCAACCAUGAAAAACUGUGGCUUAGGGGCUACCACAGCCUUUGGUAUCUUGUCGUCUUGGGAAGACAUCAAUUCUUCAACCGAGACACCACAUGCAGCCGCCAACUCCUUUGCACUUUCUAAAGCUAGCCCCUGCAUCGGAGGGGGAACAUUCUCGGUUAACACCUUGAGGGGUGGGAUCGACUGUUUGGCCUGUUGUCCAAGCUGAGGAACGUCUGAUUUUUUUCUUGCUUGUAGUUGAACUUGAUUUGCUCCCACUUACACUUGCACGUGAUCUGCUCUUUUUCACUUCCUUCUGCAAUGUGCGUGUAUAGUCAUCAGGCUUAUGGUGUAAGUCAUACUGUGAUGGAAGGGUCGUGAAGUAUUUUGCAAAUGCUAUUUGCUUCUCGGUGUAUUCUGGGCGGGGCUCGGGUUCCUUCUUUUUCAUCUGCGCAUCAUGAUGUUCCUUUGCUAUCCUGGCGUUUUCCUCGGGGUUACGAUCAUAAGGUCUGAUAGGAAGAUUAGCAUGACGUACCUUUGGGAGGGGCGACCGUUUGCGCUUCGGGGUGCUCUGUGGCUUAGGAAUCAUCGGCGGAGCGUUCUUGGUGGCACGCUCCCGCUUAGUAUCCGGAGCGGGCGGCGGCGGAGACGGACGACCCAAGUCCGGCGGCGGUGAUCGAGAUGGACUCGUGUUGUGCUGGCCGACGUCAUGUGGAGGGCUUGCACGUGAUCUGCUCUUUUGCACUUCCUUCUGCAAUGUGCGUGUAUAGUCAUCAGGCUUAUGGUGUAAGUCAUACUGUGAUGGAAGGGUCGUGAAGUAUUUUGCAAAUGCUAUUUGCUUCUCGGUGUAUUCCGGGCGGGGCUUGCGUUCCUUCUUUUUCAUCUGCGCAUCAUGAUGUUCCUUUGCUAUCCUGGCAUUUUCCUCGGGGGUACGAUCAUAAGGUCUGAUAGGAAGAUUAGCAUGACGUACCUUUGGGAGGGGCGACCGUUUGCACUUUGGGGUGCUCUGUGGCUUAGGAAUCGUCGGCGGAGCGUUCUUAGUGGCACGCUCCCGCUUUGUAUCCGGAGCGGGCGGCGGAGACGGACGACCCAAGUCCGGCGGCAGUGAUCGAGAUGGACUCGUGUUGUGCUGGCCGACGUCAUGUGGAGGGCUUGGAGGUAAUGGAGGUGUAGGUGACCUGCGACGACUCGGAGGCGGUGUUGUUCUUGGGGCCGAGCCUGGAAGCUUGAUGUAGUUCUUGUCCCAUAGGAUGACUCCACCCAGUACUUCUCCGAGUGUCCUCUCAUCUUCGGGUCCAGCUAUGUCGAGCUCCAUAUCAUUAAACCCCGUCAUGAUUUCAUCCACCCCGACUUUAGCAAAGCCAGCUGGAAUCUCACGGCCAUGCCAGCGUGCAUCAGGGCCAAAAGGUAAAGCUUGUCCGACGGCCACCUUCAUGGAUAUGUUCUUCAAUUUCUGAUGGAGUUCACAUGAUGUUGACUCCUUGAUUCCAUCCACGGGGUAGCCGGGACCGCCCUCUAUCAUUAUUCGUUCAUCGUCGGGCGGGGCCUCAGAUUCAGCCACGCUGCUUUUCUGCUUAGAUGGGGCGCCGGUAAUAUCAAGUGCAGGAUCUUCCUAGCGCGGUACUCCUCUAAGCUCAUCAAUCUGCUUCUGUUGCUCGUUAAUCCUGGCAAGCAACUGGUUGAACUUGUCAUUAUCCUCAUCCUGCUGCCGCUUCUUUGCUCUCUCUCGGCUUCUGUAAGUGUCUUAGUCUCUGGCAAACCCAAGCCACCACGAGUAAGAAGGACCGAAGCCUCGCGUUCGUCCUCCAUGUUCGUCAUUGCCGAGGACCAGUGUGAGCAAAUCUUUAUCUCUAUCUGCAGUGAACUUUCUUUGUCCCUCCUUAAUUUCUUUCACUAUCCUUUUCCAAUUCUCCCUGGGUAUCCUAAGAUUGUCAUUGCAGAUGAGGUCCCAUGUUGUUUCGUCGUACGAUCCACCAUGCGCAAGGAACCAAUUUCUUGCUCUCAAUUCCCACUCAUCACGGAGUGGUUCAGGUACGAUGCAUUUAUCUAUCAGAUCUUGCUCUUUCUUAUACCACUUUGGGAUGACAGUCUCAUAGCCCCCUGGCCCCAGCUUUUGGUGAUAUUUCUUCUUGUCGGCAUUUAUCUUGUUCUUUUCUGAUAAUGCCUGGGCAUCUUCUGACUCCUUGUACUCUUGAAAUUCCUUCCAGUGAUUCGCCUGCUUGGCUAGAUACCCCUCGAAUACUGGCACUUUCUGUGUCUUCAGAUAGUUUUUCCAUAGCUUCUUCUUCCAGCUACGGAACAGUUCGGCCAUCUUCUUUAGAGUCCACUGCUUGACUUUGGCCCUCAGUUUGUCUGCGCCGUCUUCAUUCUCACAUUCUGGCAGGUUGAAAUGUGACAUGAGAUCAUUCCAAAGAUUAUCUUUGUACCUUUCGGUGACAUAGUCAGUAUCGGCUGCCCCUUUGCGCUUGUUCCACUCUCGAACGCUGAUCGGGACGUGAUCCCUAACGAGAACUCCGCAUUGCUUCUUGAAUGUGUCAGCAGCAUUCUUAGGAAGCUUGGGUUCGCCCAUAGGCAUUAUCACCUCAAAGGUGUAAUGCGUCCGUGCAUCCAACUUUCUAGUCGGGCCUCGUUUCGUAGAUUUGCUCGAUGUGGAGGCCUAAGAGGGAGAAACAUUCGUCAAAUGAAUGUAUAUGUAUACAAUAUAGAGCUAUCUCCAAUAUUUUUCACAUAUUACAAGUGAUUGUCGAACUUCAUAUGUAUACCUCGCCGGACUUUAUUAUUUCUUCACCAGCUUCUCCACCGGCUUCUCCAUCAGUGGAGCUAUCACCUUCUCCGUCAUUGGACCUAUCUCCUGCCCCAUCGGCUUCAUCUUCGUGUCGCUUGACCUCCAUUCCAUAUCCGGAGUCGUUUAGAUAUGACGUCGGAGAUUCAGCUGGUUCAACGUCGGGGCCGACUUUGAUUAUAUCUUCGAGAAGUUCUUCCUCUUCGAGGUUCCUGAUAUGUGGACCCAUAGUUCUGCAAAAAACGGACAUUUCGUUAACUAAUAAACUAAUAAAAUCUAUAAGAGGGGUUGGAAACUUCGAAGGCUCGUUUUAUAUAGGAGGACCUUUAGUCCCGGGUCUUGGCUAGAACCUAAACUCUAAAAUACCUUUAGAACCUAAACUCUACAAUAGCAAAAUUAAGCAAUAAUCUAAGAAACACUAUUAACACUUAAGCAUAUACACUAUACAAUAGCAAAAUUAAAUGACAAAAAAAAUAUUUCUUCUUCUUAUAACCCUAAACUAAUUUUUCCUCUUCUUCUAUUUCUCCUCUUCUUCUACUUCUACCUUUCUUCUCCUCUUCUUCUUAUUCUCCCUUUUCUUCUUUUCUUCUCCUCCUCUUCUUAUUUUCCUUUUUCCUAAUUCUACAUAUUACUAAGCCUAAUAAUCUAGCACAAACCUAAUAACAAUAGGAAUUAAAUGACCCAAAAAAUCUUUUUCUUCUUUUCUUCUCCUCCUCUUCUUAUUUUCCUUUUUCCUAAUUCUACAUAUUACUAAGCCUAAUAAUCUAGCACAAACCUAAUAACAAUAGGAAUUAAAUGACCCAAAAAAUCUUUUUCUUCUUUUCUUCUCCUCCUCUUCUUAUUUUCCUUUUUCCUAAUUCUACAUAUUACUAAGCCUAAUAAUCUAGCACAAACCUAAUAACAAUAGGAAUUAAAUGACCCAAAAAAUCUUUUUCUUCUUUUCUUCUCCUCCUCUUCUUAUUUUCCUUUUUCCUAAUUCUACAUAUUACUAAGCCUAAUAAUCUAGCACAAACCUAAUAACAAUAGGAAUUAAAUGACCCAAAAAAUCUUUUUCUUCUUUUCUUCUCCUCCUCUUCUUAUUUUCCUUUUUNCUGACGGCGUCGUCGAGUUCGUCGCUUGCCGCGCCGGGCAAGAGAACGAGAGGAAGAAGAAGAGAAAUGGACGAUUUGGGUUCGAAAUUUUCUAACUCCCGCUUAUACAGGUGGAUCUUUAGUCCCGGUUCGGGGCUCGAUCCGGGACUAAAGACCCCUUUAGUCCCGGGUGGAGCCACGACCCGGGACUAAAGGCCCUUUUUCGGGCAGACCAAAAGGCGGGAAGCAGGGGCCUUUAGUCCCGGAGCGUGGCAAGAACCGGGACUAAAGGGGGUCUUUAGUCCCGGGUGGAGCCAUGCCCCGGGACUAAAGGCCCUUUUUCGACAGACCAGAAGACGGGGAGCAGGGGCCGGCCUUUAGUCCCGGGGCGUGGCAAGAACCGGGACUAAAGUGUUGCCUAUAUAAACCCUUGCCCCUGCCCACCAUAUCCCCUGUUUUUUGGUUGUUGAAGUGUGACCAUGCCAUGCUCUUGCCACUCUAGUUCAUGCACAUGACGUGUUCAAUGAAAUGCCCGAGCCACUCUACUUAAGCUUUCUCCUCUCCAAGCUCGACCUCCAAGCUCCAUUUCCUUAAUAUUUGUCUAGGUUUGGCCGUGCACCAACUACGAGCACCACCGUGGUGAGCCUCUUGUUCUUAUCUUCUUUUUAACAUUAAAAAAAUCUUACUUGUAUGAUUUAGAUACAUACUUGUAUAAAUUACUCACUUUCAUUAUUUUUUGUUAUUAUAUAGUGCGAUGGUUUUGGUAUCCGCCUCCGUCGGCCCUCAUCCUGUCUAUGAUUCGGAUGUGGUAUAUAUUAUCUUUUAUAGCUAUUUGUUUUAUUUAGUGUUUAUGACAAUUAUGACGACCAAUGUGACAUAUAUUUUUUUAAUCUAGGAGGUAUGUGAACCGUAAAUUCCAACCCACAUAAAAAUUCUUGUCGAGAAGUUAAAUUUGGUUGAAAAAGAAAACAAAUACUUGAAGAAAAAAUUGAAAAUAAUUGAGGAUAAGAAUAUGGAACUGGAGUUGCAUGUCGCCGAUGUCACCGAUGAUCGCAAGAUGAAGAUCGAUGCGAUGCGGUUGUAGAUGGAUGCAAUGCGCUUGAAGAUGGAUGAAAUGCGCUUGAAGAUUAGAAAUAUUAGAAAAUAUGCCAUUGAUAAAGAGGCUUGGUAUCGUUAUGUUGUUGGGUCAAUUGUUACCUUAGUUGCGAUUUUGAUCGCGUUUGUUGUUGCAUUUAAAUGUUUUACAUAGUUGUAUGUUGUUUUAUGAAAGAACUUUAUGUAUUUAUUUUUUGCAAUAAUAACAUUUGAUCACUACUCUUCUUUGGCUUUAAUGUGAUGAUGAACUUGUAUUAAUUUGGCCAUAUGUUCUGCAAUGGUUUUUUGAUAUAUUUAAUUUCAUAAUAGAGAUGAAUCGCCAAUGAUAAUAUUUAAUUUCAUAAUAUGGUUUUUUGAACUCCAUACUUUUUGUGUGUUCAACAAUUUCUGACUUCAUUUGGUAUAUUUCGUGCAUUUACUUUUUUUUGAGCUAGUUGACCCUGAAAUUGAAAAGCACUACAAAUGAACUCUGAAAAUGUUGAAAGUUGGCAUGCUAUCAUAAUUUCACCCACAUAGCAUCUGUUAAAAAGUUGAGAGGGCUACGACAAAAACUGGAUGCACUUCGUGUACAAAACGGACAAUCUCUCUCGAAGUAUCAGGGUUUCGAAUGAGAACUCAUCUCUUACAAAGGGAUUUCAUUUUUUUGAACUUAUUUGAACUCCAUACUUUUUGUGUGUUCAAAAUGCACCAUUCAAAGGCACAUCACAAAAUUUCAACAAUUUCUGACUUCAUUUGGUAUAUUUCGUGCAUUUACUUAUUUUUUUUGAGCUAGUUGACCCUGAAAUUAAAAAGCACUACAAAUGAACUGUAAAAAUGUUGAAAGUUGGCAUGCUAUCAUCAUUUCACCCACAUAGCAUGUGUUAAAAAGUUUAGAGGGCUACGGCAAAAACUAGAUGCACUUCGUGUACAAAACGGACAAUCUCUCUCGAAGUAUCAGGAUUUCGAACGAGAACUCAUCUCUUACAUGGAUACUAUGAAAAUGAAAAGUGUUUGAAAUUUAGUACAUUCCAUACAUGCAUUACAUAAAAGGUUUAAUACAUUAUUACAUUAUUGCACCAAUAUUCCUAUCUAUUAUUUCCGUUUUCUUCUAGGUCGUAGCCAUGGAGAAUCUUCAUCAUUCAGUAGGAUGCUUGGGUCAGUUUUCACUUUGAAGGGCGGAAUUUCAUGAAACUUAUUAUAAUCUUCUGACAUGCCUGUCUUGUCAUCUACUCCCACGAUGUUUUUUUUCCCUGAAAGAACUAUGUGGCGUUUUGGCCCAUCGAACGAUAUCUUCUUUUGCUGAUUUCUUUUUCUCGUUUUUGUAGACAUGUCCUUCACAUAGAAAAACCUGAGCGACGUCAUUGGCUAGGACAAAUGGUUCGUCCAUGUAUGCAAGAUUGUUGAGAUCCACUGUUGUCAUGCCGUACUUUUGGUCUACAACUACCCCGCCUCCUGUCAGCUUCACCCAUUUGCACCGAAACAAAGGGAUCCUAAAAGUAGGUUCAUCGUCAAGUUCCCAUAUCUCCUCUAUGUACCCGUAAUAUGUUUCCAAACAGUGCCCAUUCUCGUCUGUUGCAUCAAAGAGGACACCACUAUUUUGAUUGGUGCUCUUUUUAUCUUGGGCAACCGUGUAAAAUGUAUUCCCAUUUAUCUCAUACCCUUGGAAAGUACAUAUAGUCGAAGAUGGUGGCCUGGCCAAACAGUACAACUCAUCUCCAACGGUGUCGUCAUUCAUGAGAUGUGUCUGCAACCAACUACCGAAAGUCUUCUCGUGUUCCCCUUUAAUCCAAGAGUCAGCCUUUCCCGGGUUUUCGGAGCGUAGAAUAUUCUUGUGUCUCACGAUAUACGGAGCCACCACGGUGGAAUUGUGUAGAACUGUGUAGUGUGCUUGAGAGAAAGAAUGCCCGUCCAUACAUACUUUUGCUUUCCUUCCUAGUGUGCCUUUUCCUGUAAGCCUACCCUCAUACCGAGAUUCAGGAACACCAAUCGGCUUAAGAUCAGGAAGAAAGUCCACACAAAACUCAAUGACCUCCUCUGUUCCAUAGCCCUUGGAGAUGCUUCCUUCUGGCCUAGCACGGUUACGAACAUAUUUCUUUAAGACUCCCAUGAACCUCUCGAAGGGGAACAUAUUGUGUAGAAACACAGGACCGAGAAUUCUAAUCUCUUCGACUAGGUGAACUAGGAGGUGUGUCAUUAUAUUGAAGAAGGAUGGCGGGAACAACAACUCAAAGCUGACCAGACAUUGGACCACAUCAAUCUGUAACCCUGAUAGACUUUCUCGAUCGAUUACCUUCUGAGAAAUUGCAUUGAGGAUUGCACAUACCUUCACAAUUGCCAGGCGAACAUUUUCCGGUGGAAUUCCCCUCAAUGCAACCGGAAGCAAUUGCGUCAUAAGCACGUGGCAGUCAUGAGACUUUAGGUUUUGGAAUUUUUUGUCUUUCAUAUUUACGAUUCCCUUUAUAUUGGACGAGAAGCCAUUCGGGACCUUGAUACUGAAAAGGACUUCAAAGAAGAUUUCCUUCUCUUCCUUAGUAAGAGCGUAGCUGGCACGCCCUUGAAACUGCCCUGGAUGCAUGCCAUCUCUUCCUUUAUGACGUUCCUGGUCCUCCCGUGCUUCCGGUGUAUCUUUUGACUUCCCAUACAAGCCCAGGAAGCCUAGAAUAUUCACGCAGAGAUUCUUCGUCAGGUGCAUCACGUCGAUUGCCGAGCGGACCUCAUGGACUUCCCAGUAGGGUAGCUCCCAAAAUAUAGAUUUCUUCUUCCACAUGGGUACGCGCUUAUCAGGGCCGUUAGGAACAGGUUGGCUGCCAGGACCAUUUCCAAAGAUUGCUUUUAAAUCUUUGACCAUAUCAAAUACUUCAGCACCAGUACGGAUGACAGGCUUCCCCCGGGGUUCUGCCUUGCCAUUGAAAUGCUUGCCUUUUUUCUUUAAGGGAUGCUUGGGCGGAAGAAAACGACGAUUGUACGGAUACACGUUCUUCCUACAUUUUUCCAGAUAUAUACUUUCUGUCUGAUCCAAACAGUGCGUGCAUGCAUUGUAUUCCUUGUUUGACUGUCAAGAAAUGUUACUAAUAGCAGGCCAAUCAUUGAUGGUUACGAAAAGCAACGCUCGAAGGUCAAGUUCCUCUUGUUUGUGCUCGUCCCACACACGUACACCUGGUUCGGCCCACAACUGUAAAAGUUCAUCAACUAAUGGCCUUAGGUACACAUCAAUAUCGUUGUCGGGUUGCUUUGGACCUUGGAUAAGCACUGGCAUCAUAAUGAACUUCCGCUUCAUGCAGAACCAAGGAGGAAGGUUGUAGAUACAUAAAGUAACGGGCCAGGUGCUGUGACUGCAACUCUGCUCCCAAAAAGGAUUCAUGCCAUCUAUACUCAGACCUAACCAUAAGUUCCUUGCGUCAGCUGCAAAUCUCGGGAACUCUCUCUCGAUUUUUCUCCACUGCCGACCAUCAGCGGUAGGCCUCAACUUAUCGUCUUUCAUACGAUCUUCCAUGUGCCAUCGCAACAACUUCGCAUGAUCUUUAUUUCUGAACAGACGUUUCAACCGUGGUAUUAUAGGAGCAUACCACAUCACCUUGGCAGGAACCCUCUUCCUGGAUGGCUCGCCCUCAAUAUCACGAGGGUCAUCUUUUCUGAUCUUAUACCGCAAUGCAGUGCAUACCGGGCAUUUAUCCAUAUUCUCGUACUUCUCACCGCGGUAGAGGAUGCAGUCAUUAGGGCAUGCAUGUAUCUUCUGCACGUCUAAUCCUAGAGGGCAUACAAGCUUCUUUUCUUCGUACGUGCUGGCGGACAAUUCGUUCUUUCUUGGAAGCAUCUUCUUCAUCAGUACCAGCAACUUUUCGAAUGACGAGUCAGUCACACCGGUCUCUGCCUUCCACUUCAGCAAUUCCAGUGUGCUACCCAGCUUCUUCUGGCCAUCUUCACAAGUUGGGUACAACAAUUUGUUGUGGUCCUGUAACAUCUGCUCGAACUGUAACCUCUCCUUUUCUGUGUCGCAACCUCGCCGUGCAUCAGAAAUGACCCGACCAAGAUCAUCAGCGGGCUCAUCUGGUUCCCGUUCUUCAUCCUGAUCUUCUUCUUCAUUGUCUUCCAUUGCGGUAUCAGCAUACUCACGGAACAUAGAUCGGUAGUUGUCAUCAUCGUUCUCUUCUUCUUCAUCGUCGUCUUCCAUCAUAACCCCUCUUUCUCCGUGCUUGGUCCAAACAUUAUAGCCCGACAUAAAACCGGACCGAAGCAGGUGGCUCUGAAUGACUCUUGAGGAAGUGUAAUCCUUCUCAUUCCGACAUUCAACACAUGGACAAAACAUAUAGCCACCACCAUGCUUGUUCGCAUCGGCUGCAUCUCGAAAAGAAUGCACGCCUUCUCUGUAAGCGGCUGUGCGUCGAUCACCGUACAUCCAUGGAUGGCUCAUCUGUGUUAUACGACAGUAUAUCAAAUACAAUCACGAUCCUAAAAAUUAGUACCGCACGGUCUAAACAAGGAAAUAUAGUUGCUAACCUUUUAGAAUAAGUAGAAAUAAAGAGGAAGAGGUUUAAGCGUGGCUCAGGCAUCUCAUAUCGUAGUUGUGUUCGGUAAACUAAAGCGGCAUCACUCUAACACACAUUUCAACAAACACCUCUAGUGCAUCAAAAAAAGUGGAGAGCUAGCACCCACCCACAAUCCUCCAUCCAAGAAAAAUGCAAGGAAGAGGGGAGAGGGGGGCUGUGCUAUAUAUAGGCAGAGUACUUUAGUCCCGGUUUGAGACACAAACCGGGACUAAAGGUGGCGCACAUGCGGGCUGCACACCGCGUAGCCCUUUAGUCCAGGUUUGGGACACAAAUCGGGACUAAAGGCUCCUUGCGGUCCGGGACUAAAGCCUCGAGGGAGGAUAUGAGAAUUGGGACGACGUGGCCGGGCCUUUAGUCCCGGCCCAGAGGCAAGCCGGGACUAAAGGGUCCCGGCCAAAGGCCCGUUUUCUACUAGUGUCGGUUUCUACAAGGAUCCACCGCUUCGUCCAUUCCUUGCUUGCUAGUAGCUGCAGCUCACUUGUCUGUACAACAAAAUCAACAGAAAAGGUCCAGGCGUGGAUAUGUACACGCUACAGGUCUGUUCUACCGCGGAGUCCGUAUUCAGCUUAACAGAAACCUUAAACAAACCUGCGUGCAACAGGCUAUACUUCAUACUCCAGUAUCUUGUGGUGCAGCGAUUGAAUCGGCGCCACGCGAGUUGCACGACCACGGCGGCCAACGGCCCACGGCGCGCGUUUCCAAGAGCCGUGCUUGCAUGCCGAGAGAAGGCAGGGCCGAGUGUGGAGGAAGAGCUGCAGGGUCCCGGCAAUGGCGAGCUCCAAGGCUGCACGCACCGGCGUACGUCUGCACCUAAACUACAUGGCAUCUCCUUAUGCCUCCUGCACUCACGGGAGACCGCUCCUGUACGGCUGUACCACGAAGGAGCCGCUUGGUCCUCCCCGAGCCACAGCGCCGCCGAUCCGGUCCCUAGCCAUCUCGCUCGAGGCCGGUCCAAAGGCGGGCUCGGUCCGGGACCGGACUGGACCGUGUCCACCUGCCAUGCAGUGCGCCUGCACACCCAGGCCCUGCUGUGCCGACGCCGGUGGCCUGCCACACCAUCACUCCGCACGCAUGCAUGCAUGCACACCGCUGCCCGCUCCCUCGAUCCCACCUAUAUAUGCAGGCGUUCGCUGAGCGCACGCACGCACGGUCGUCAAGCUCCUAUGCUGCUUGUGGACGGGGUGUCCGUGCCGUUGAGUGGGGCGGCCGGCGUGGUGCUUCUCUUCUUCCACGAGCACGCCUCCGGGACACUCUGGUGCUCUACCUCCACGACCACGUUUUCCAUGCCGCCGCCGACGCCGUCGCCGCAUCCUCGGGCUACAUAGCAUUGACCAGCGCCGCCGGGGCUAGCAAGCCAGCCCGGGCCAGAGAGUUGGCCGUUCCGAGUCUCGUAUUUGGGAUUCGCCAUUGCACCGACCUGAGCCCCGCACCCGCUCGUCAUCACUUAUCUUUUGGCUGCUUGGUCUGUUUUCGUCUCGUCCCCAACCUGCUUUGGAAGUUUGGAAUAGGGGAUUAGCUGCGCCGCUGUCCACAUGAGGAUACCUAAUUGGACAGCAGGCCGGAGGAUGGCGAUUGGGGAACAGUGGGUCCGGUGGAGAUUGCCAUUAUUUUAUUUGAUGGCUUCCAUGUGGGGGUGAAGGAUGAGGGCCUCUUUGAUUCGUAGGAUUCUCAAAAUACAGAAAUAGCAAAAACGUAGGAACAAAGUGGUAUGUUUUUUUCUACACUACAGGAUUUGGAAGUGUGUUUGAUAGCACACGAAAAACAAAAGAAAUCUAUAAGGAGGUUUGAGUGGAUGGAAGUUUUCCUUUAAAAUGUAGUACAAACGAAUCCUAUGAAAAAAUUCCAAAGGAUUUCAAUCCUACGAAUCAAACGACCAUCGUAGGAAAAAAUCAUAAGGAUCCAAAUCCUCUAAAAAUCCAAUGAAAUUCCUUUGUAUCAAAGGAGCCCUGAGUGAACUCACCAACAACGUAAAAAAUUAUAAAGUAGGAAUAAGUAGGAAAGAUAAUGCAGAUUUGCUUUGUUGGGCUUUCGUUUUUAAUGGGAUUUGCUCUUCCAAAUCUGCCUAUAAGCUCUGUUUGCAGGAUAUUCAUUCUCAUCCCCGAACUGCUCCUUUGAAUGUUUUCUUGAUUUGAAAAUUUUCCUUAAAACUAUUUGGAAAUAGAAAAAUUUGCUACCUAAGGUUCAAACUUUUGCAUGUAGACUUCUUAGUAAAUCUUUGCCUACGGGAUCGAGAGGAGGUCGUUUUUCUAUUCAUAUCUCUCAAAACUGUUCUAGAUGUGCUCAACAAGAGGAUGAUAUUCACCUUUUCUUUCUUUCUGAUUUUGCUAGAGUUGCUUGGUUCUCUGCCCCUUGGAUUAUUAGAUCUGAUGUUCUUGUUCACGGGCAUUUCACUAUGCAUUCUAUUCUUAUUCAACUUGUUUCAAUGGGUCACCCCCAUGCAUCUUUACGGAAUGUUCUGAAUUUUUUGUGGUGCAUUUGGAAAGCUAGGAAUGAUUUUCUGUUUGACCGCAAAAAACAUCUUCGCUAUCAAGUCCACAUUGUUGCUGCUAAUUUGGAUUCUGGCUUUCAAGAGGAGACCUUACAUUUUUCUAACAAUCAAACUUGUGCUAAUACUCAACAUGAUUCUCAUAAUCUUCCUAUACAAGGAUUCACUCUCAAAUCUGAUUUGCUGAUUAUUGGAGCUAAAGUCUUUUCAGAUGCAGCUUUUCGAUCUUCAAAAAUUCCAGGUCUCGGUCAAGGACAAGUGGGGACAGGUGUGGGUGUCUACUUUUGCAUUCCUUCCAUCCAAGGAGAAAUCAAUAUUCAGGUUCAAGCUUCGGCCCCUCCUACUUCUACUCCUCAGGCAGAACCUGUUGCUCUUGCAUGUGCAGCUCAUUUGGCAGCUUCUCUUAAUAUUCAGCAUCCCACGUUUUUUAUCGGCUGUCUUUUGCUUGCCUCAACGGCUGCUUCUAGAAACAUUUCUCAUCCUGCUGCUCCUUGGAAUAUUAGGAAGGAUGUGGCUACUUUUGUUAAGACCACUUCUAAUUUAAAUCCUCAAGUAUUUCAUAUUUCCAGGGAUAUUAAUGGAGUUGCUCACAACCUUGCUCAACAGGUUUUCCGAUCUGUCGGAGGAACCAUUCUGACAUGUUCUUCUCAUUCUCAUAUAUCUGCUCCAUGUCCAGUGGCAACUACUCUUUCAAACUUUCAACUUGCAGGUAUUCGGCUACACACGGCGUACUGCUUCUAAUGCAACGAAGGACACGUUGAUACUCCACAUUUAAGAAGUUCAUCCCUCGAGUUCUUCUUCUCAGGGUCUCUUCAUGGAGCUAGUCAAGUGGAAGACAAUUGUUAGUUUCAACUCCAUCCUGUUGUUUCUACAGGAACCUUGGAUUGAAGGGCCGGACUCCUUCCUCUAUUGCUGCAUGCUCACUAGCAUAUUGAUGCCAGCUCCCUUUCUGUUGCAUCUUCUUCUUUGUACUGGUUCACGACUUGUCUCUAGUAGUUCUCUCUUAAUAGCUGCAGUUCAUUUGGUUGAGUUGCGCUCAACCUAUUAUCUGCUUUCUCCAUUCAGCUUCACUCCUAUGGCUGUGCAUUCUCUUCUUUCUAUCUUCUUGCCAUUGUACUAUCUCAUGUACUGUUGCUCUAAGUUGUCAAUGGAAUUGGGCACUUGUUGCAUUGGUGCCUUGCUUUGUUAAAAAAAAAGGUGUAGUUCAACUGUCGAGUGGUACAAUGUUUCAAACCCAACCUCACGUGGCACAUCUAUUACAACGUCUAAAGUUGGACCCCUCAAAUCCAGUCCCUCAAACGUCCACGGACGCGUCCGGUCACAUCUUAAAUGAUUCAUUCUACUUCCGGACAUCUAAUUAGGAUCCUCAAAUCCACACAAAAAAAUGCAAGAUAUGAAACCUACGUACUACAUAGAACCUAUAUACUCCUCGUCGAAGAUGUCAACGAUCGUCGUGCCCUCCGACGGAUAAAUGGUCGCCUUCACAGCUCCGCCCCCUCAGGCUCCUCCCGCUACUCCGCUACGGCCUCCUCUACCUCAAUCUCCGUGUCCAGCUCGUCGAAGAGGGUGUCGGCCUCCGCCAGCCUCUACCGGGUGAGCCGGUGGUUGGCCUUCACCUUGGCCUCAUCCCGGUUGAAAUCCAGGAUGGCAUGCUGCUUCGCCAUCUCCUCCGAUUGGGCGAAGGCGAACUCCUCCUCCGCCGGUCAUUAUGCUCAAGCCGGGAGCCUCCUCCUCCAUGGCCUCUGGCUGCUCCUCGUCGUCGUCCUCCUCUUCAUCGUCCUCCUCCUUCUCCGUUUCCGGCGAGUCUGGAAGGAGGCCCGCGUCGAUGCGCGCGGCGCAACGAGCCUGGAUCUCCGCCUCAAUUUGAAGGCGCCGCUCCGGAGAGAGCUACGCGUACAUGGUGAUGAGCCGUCGGAACAUCAUGACGGAGAGGGAACUACGAGAGGAGGCGGGCGAGCUCGAGUGGCGGCGGAGAGAAGGAGGAGGCGGAUGAGCUAGGGCUGGGGGCGCCAGCCUGCUUAAAUAACCGGCCCCGACCUUAGGCUGGGAGCCAAAGCGGCGCCACGCGACGUUCACGCCGUGCCGAUGGUCGAGACGCCCGUCGAACCAUCGGGUUUCCCGACAAGUCCGCGUGAGGCCCAAGCUGUCAGGGCGACGUGGCGGGCGUGCCCGGGCUCCCUCAUAUCCACCCCAUAUUUGGGCUGAAAAUGAAAGAUGGCGAUCAGCCCAAGCGUUUGAAGCCGGUUUAAGAGGCCCGUUUGAAUCAAAUUUUUUGCGACCGGACGUUUGAAGAGGGUUUGAAGGGUACGCGUGUAAAUGCUCUUAGUGCACAUUCUAGCAAUUCUAGUGUCAUAGUAACAUAUCGAGAAAAGGCGAAAUAGAAAUGUUGCAUUAUCAUGCAAACUCGUGUCGGAAAAAAAUUAUGCUCACCUAUGUUGAAAAAAAAAAUGUUCAGCUUGUGAGUCAACCAGAGACCAACAUCAAGAAGGAGCUUAUUUCAGGAUGCAUCCAGCUGAUCCGCUACAGGUAUACUUUUGGCAGGAUUGAGAUAAGGUGACUUGCCAUGGGUGAGUCACUCGUCAAUAGUCCACUCAAAAAAAAAAAGUCACUCGUGAAUAGUCCACUCAAAUAAAAAGUCUACACCAUCAGAUCAAGAAUCAAUGGACGCAUUUACAGAUUUACUGAACAGUUUAAAACUACAGUGCAUCGCUACUGCACCCGUGCUACAAGACCGGUGUACAGUACACUCUCGCAGUGUUUCUUCGCUACAGUACAUCAUCUGGGCUCGUCGUUUUUGGUCUAACGGUCAUGUUACAUGGUGACAUGCUGUGGGCACGUACUUCCUCAGGCACUGCAAAUAGGCCACCCUCUCCUUAAAAUGGAGAUUUAGGAAUUAUGUGGUAGUCCAAGGGUCCUACAAAAGACUGGAAAGAAUCUAGGUUAUCCGGCUAAUAAUAACACAAAUUAUGAGAAGAAAGGCACAUAUGAACACUGGUGAUGCAACUCGCCAAACACUGCAAAUGUUAAAAAGAUAAGAAUAUAAAGCUUUGCAAAUCUACUGAAUGUAUAUUUGAAAUAGAUCGGGUCAGACCUGGCCAAACGGGCAAGGCCAAUCAGGCUGGCCAACGAGCACCCCGGCACGGCCCACCAUGGGUCACACACGGCACAGGUUAAACGGCCCGGGCACGGCAUGCGGCAUGGCUUGGGCCAUGUCUAAGCCUAAAGGCUGGACACGCGGACCGGCACAACAUGGUUUGUUUUUUUNUAUUUGGCCCUGCCCAGUUCGCUUAGCCACCGGUUUUAGGAACCUUCUAGAGGUUCCUUGAACCGUUUUGUUUCUUUUUNNNNNNNNNNNNNNNNNNNNNNNNNNNNNNNNNNNNNUGUUUUUAAAACAAGUCCAUGUUUAAAAUUGUUCUUAAAUAUCGAAUAAUUUUUUGAUUUUUCUAAAAAAAUCAAAAUUUAAAUAGUUGCCGUUUUUCAAAAACAAUCAUAACUUCAAACAAUGUUUGUGAUUUUCAAAAAAUGUGUAUUAUUUUCAAAUAAUUUCAAAAUAUAAAAAACUUGUCCAAUUAAAAAAACUAUGUUCAUUUCCGGUAUUUUUUAAACAUUUCGUAAAAUAUUCUUGCUUUCAUAAAAUGUUCCAAAAUUCAAAAUAUUGUCAUUUUUCAAGAAUUUAUCAUAAAAUCGAAAAAUAUUAUGGAUUCUCAAAAAAGUUCUGUAUUUUCAAAAAAAAUGUUCUUUUUUCAAAAAAUAUUAUGGUGUUAACAAAAAUGUUAAAAUUUUAAAAUUUAUUCGCAAAUUGGAGAUCUAUAAAAUGUUUCCUUUAUCACAAAAGUGUACAAAAUUUUAGAAUUCCUGGAGAAUGAAAAUGUCAACAAUUUAUGAAAUUUUGAAAAAUUCUUUUGAAUGGAAUUUAUGAACAAAACUUCUGCUCACUCUUUGAAAAAUUGUUCAAGAUUUCAUAAAAAUUGUCCAAAAAUUCAAAAAGUGUUAUCUACACAACACCAGAGCAGAGAUUAGAAGUUAGCAACACUGGUAUGUUAGCCUUCUCGCCAAGAACAUUAUUUAAAUCUAGUACUCCAUAUGUAUAUCAUAAAUCUGUUAGCUUCGCCAAUGACAUUAUUCCCACUUUCCAAAAAAUAGGGAACAUUAAAGGAUCAGCAGGGGAAAUUUUGCAUCGGCGUAAAAUCUUGUAAUAAGAUACUCUUAACCAUAUUAUGAUGGACCAACUUAACAAGGCAUACAUGGUUAUGAUCCAAGUUCAUCCAGUAUGGAUACAAUAACUAACAUACAUACAUCCCUUCGUUAUUUGACCCUUUGUCCCUAUGUCCCUUUAUGUCAAACACAUGGAAAUGACAUAGAUACUUUCCCAGAGAUCAUGCUCAUGUCUACAUUGCAUUAUGGCCAUUUAUUUAGCAAUGCAAAGGCUCAAAAAUUUCUUUUUACCCCCUUUUCUUGCAUGAGAAAGACCUGUACCACAAACAAAUUGAAAAACAAAUAUGGAAGGGAAUUCAUCUGUCAAUGUCAGUAUCUCAACUGGAAGACACAUCAAGUAUCGGUUUUCAUCUAAGGUUAUUCGGAAUACAUGAUGCAAGAGCUAGAUCGGAAAAAAAUAACAUGAUAAACUGUGUACGUGGUCACAACGGUUGAAUCUCCCACCCACUACAUUUUCAAAUGGAGCACCAAAAAUUUUAGAGGCCUCUAGACUAUUGUUUGUUUUCUUAUUUGUAAGUCCCAUGAAUUCAGGUGUCAGUACCAGUCAGUGUCUUCACAUGCUCCUAGGAAGAGCACACUCUAUCUACAUGUAAUGCAAUUUGCAAGAUGCAGACCAUAUUCCCACUGCAGGUCUGGAUUGCUCAUCUACAUAUUCAAUAUCAGCGCUAACAAAAACAAUGGCAAAGGUUGAAAGAUAUUAUAUCCAAAAAACGGUAGGGCUAGAAAAUGGCGCUUCACAGAGUAUGAAUCAACACUGCCAUAUAUUGCCACUGAAAGAUUAAUUUGCGCAGUGGGGGGUCUAUUUAGCAUCAGCAAUAUCUAAUAGUACAUUCCUUUAACUAUUGCUGAAUUUAGACAUGGAAAAAGAAGAAGAAAAGACACCAACUAUCUGCAUAGAGUACGUAUGUAAUCUAUAAGGAAUAUAUGCAUUAGAGGGAUACAACCAAGAGCAUUUUUAUUAGGACUAAAUAAGCGACAUUAUUAAUGUUGUUUCGCUGACAGAUAUCAAGAAGUAUUUGAAUGUAAAGGAAAGCUGAUGAACAUUAUUAAUACAACUAUUAAUGAUGUUUCGCUGACGGAUUAUCAAGAAGUAUUUGCAGGUACUAAAUAAGGAGAUUAUUAAUGUUGUUUCGCUGACAGAUUAUCAAGAAGUAUUUGAACGUUAAGGAAAGCUGAUGAACUACCAGUUGACCAAUACAACUAUUGCUACUUGUUUAUAAACACAUCUUGAAAUGAAAGUUUUGUUUGUGAAACCUGCAAGGAAUUCAGUUAGGUAGAUGCUAAAGUGAGUAAUCACAGAGAAAAAACCUUUUUAUUCCCGGUCCCAGGAUGUCUAAGGCUACUGAAAAUAGCAUAUUGCAUACAUGAACAAAAAAAAUCAUGAUUACUCUCUGUUGUGUACAUAAUGAUUUCACACCUCCUAUGCACUCAGAAAUAAGCAUAAGUCUAGGUUCUUUUUUUAUUUCUAAAUUUAUGAAUUUGUUUGUAAAACAUCAUGGGGAUUACCCAAGAUUAACAUAGGUCAUGCACAACCUUUAGUUGUUUGUUUUGUUGAUCUAUGAAGGAAGUGAGGGUAAUGAGAGAAUACGAAACUUUGAAGCAAAGUCAACUUGGAAUGAGUUCACCACUGAUCUAGUUGCAACACUUCAUAUUUUAAAUACAGUGUAGAAUUAUAGCGGUUACAUUUUUUACAUUUCUGAUCUCAGAACAUAAGCUUAAUGUGUUAACGCAUUCUCUGUUGCUUAGCGAUGUGUUAGAAUGUUGUUCGAACUAACAAAAGGUGAUUUUGCAUUAACAAAAAUUGGAUACAAAAAAGCCGGGGAGCAUCAAGUCAAGAACAGUCUUCCUCCAACGUGUCAAUUUCUCGCACCGGGGAUUAUUCUAAGGAAGCUUAUCCAAGUAACCGUCGCUAACUCAUCUUUUGCAUUUACUUUUUUUGCCUCUGGUUUUCCUCUCCCCCACUUCUGAAAAACAAAAAAAUUAUAAAAAUAUUUGCCUUUUUCGUUUGCCCUUUUCUUUCGCUUGCUUUAUGUUCGCUUGAGUGCUUGUCUGCUUGUUGAAGUCACCAUGACUGAAAACACCAAACUUUGUGACUUCUCGAAUACUAAUAAUAAUGAUUUUAUUAGUACUCCGAUUGCUCCGCCACUAGUGCGGAAUCAUAUGAAAUCAAUGCUGCUUUGCUGAAUCUUGUUAUGAAAGAGCAAUUCUCCGGCCUUCCUAGUGAAGAUGCCGCAUCCCAUCUUAAUACCUUCAUUGAGUUAUGCGAUAUGCAAAAGAAGAAAGAUGUGGAUAAUGAUGUGAUUAAAUUGAAGCUAUUUCCGUUCUCAUUGUGAGAUCGAGCAAAAACUUGGUUUUCAUCUUUGCCCAAAAAUAUUAUUGAUUAUUGGAACAAGUGAAAGAUGCUUAUAUAUCCAAGUAUCCGCCAAGCCCAGGGUCGCCAUCCGGCCCCCCGCGUGAUGCAGAUCAAGAUCAGGAGCUCCAACAAGAUCUGAAGCCGAACCGGAGGUUGAGCGGCUGCAACAUGAUCGCUGUCGCCACCUGCUGCUACGACUACAAACCAACCACCACACUCCAAUUGUCGUUGUCAGCCAUCACCACCGAGGAUAUCAAGAUCGGAACCGUCUCAACGAUCUUGAGCAACUGACGCAUGAGAGGAAGGCUGACGUAGCCGAGCUUCUCGGGCUUUGCCCUGGCGUCGUUGCCGACGGCAGCGAGAGUGGUAGCAGGGGACCGGGGGAGGGAGGUGGGGACACCCCGGGGAUUUUUUCACUGUUUUGAUCCUAGGGGUGCAAGUUAAUCACGUAACGAACUCGUUUGGAAAUAAUUUCACGUUUUGACCCUUUUGGAAACGCCAUAGGCCGUGGCGUUGCAGGCCUUAUGCAAAACGCCAGUCUACUGGAAGUUGCAGGCCUCAUGUGCAACGCCAAUCUACUGGACGUUGCAGGCCUUAACAAAAACGCCACCCUUACUGGCGUUUCUAGACCGGCGUCCUCACGGGAGCGGACGGGGGCACUCGAUCGAGGGUCAGUCCUCCUGGUCGCUAGUCGCUAAGGCCUCCCGAUCCUUUUCUUACGGAUUGACUUAGAACAAGCUAAUGUUCUGGAUGCUAAUCUUGGCGUGUAGUUUUCUGAUUAACUGCACGAUGAUAGACAUACCUUCAAAUUUAUUCAUUUGCACAACUAGUAAGAGCAAUUUUGCACUGGUGUGGGACUGUUUGAUUUGAUUUUUUGAAUAUAUGAAUGGAUACUUUGCAUCAUCUAUCUUAGUUUUGUGGAUACUCCGAUUUAGAAUAAUAAUCUUAUCCAUUAAUCAGUCCAUGAACUACUCUGCAUUUUCUAUUCAUGGAGUCACAUGUCUUGGAACCAUUGGUACCUCAAACACACAACCAUAAUUCAAUUGUUGUACUAGUAUAAGGUAACACUAAACAUGUCUUUGUAUUUCCUGAUGACGCACGUUUGUUUGUUUUUUCACAUAGAACAUCAUAAAUAUCUCAGUCUGAUUACUACGAUUACAAUAACACAUGCAUAUACAAAGUGUUCAUCAAUAACAUUGAUGUAUAUGUACAUGUACUGAAUAUUGUUAUUAUUAAAUGGUUAUAUUAAGGACGCCAAAUUUUAUUUUGCCACGGCCCCCUAAAAUCUAAGGACCGGCCCUGUUCUAUGGGGCAUGCUCACAUGUUUUUUUUUCUAUGACAACUACAUACAAAACAACUCGUUGUUCAACAAGAUGCACAUGGCCAUAUUCAGAGCUCCUAUGUCUUUGUUUGAUUCCACUCGAAGUGGGCGCAUCUUGAAUAGAGCAAGUCAUUUGCAUUACCACAAAUUUCCUAGGAAGUAUGAUUUUGAUUUACUUCAACUAUGCUGACUCAAUAAUUAAAUAGGCUUCACCUGAUCAAAGGGAAGUGGAUACCAACAUUGCUUACAACUAGCAUCAACACCUAUAUUGGUAAUUGGUUAUUCUAUUAUAAAAAUGUCUUAUGUAUUCUGCCAGAGCAGUCGCAAGCCAUAUUAAUUUCAGAAGAACGGUAUCUAAUUUUAGGCCGCUGCUAUGAAUCAUCCGACUGAUUUCCCCAGGAAUUAAGCCGGGUCCCGAGCCGUUGGAUCUCACCCUCUGCAACCGUUUGAUUCGUUGAUGCAUCGAUCUCAUCUCAUCAAGCGAUGGCAGCACACGCGCCUCUCGUCGACUGAGUUGGAUGUUCGGCAGCAACGGUAGCGCGGCCAUGCUCCAUUGCAGUGCCAACUCCAGCGCGGUGGUGCUACAUCACAGCGUCGGUGCUGCUCCACUACAGCUGCGACACCAGCACGUGGUGCCCCAAUGCAGCGCCAGCGGCCCACCAAAGCUCCGACCAUGAUUCAUUGCAACAGCGACAGCGGCGCAGCGGUGCUCCAUUGUGGCGGCGCGUUGCAACUUCACUGACGAAUGCCGACGAUGCUGCAACACCGGCGCGGCGGUGCUCCAUUGCAGUCGCGACAUUGUUGCACGGUGCUCCAACGCAGCACCGAUGGCCCGUCACUGCUCCGGCGACACGUCGCAACUCCACCAACGAAGGUCGGCGAUGCUGCAACACCGGCGUGGCGGUGCUCCAUUUACAAUCACGACAUUGCCGGCAGUGCUCCAACGCUGCAGCGGCGGGCCGUCGCAGCUCCGGGCAUGCUUCAAUGCAGAUGCGACACUGGCACGCGGUGCUCCAACACAUCGUCGGUGGCUAGUCAUUGUAUUGCAUCGCCGGCAGCACAAAAUGAGCGGUUGCCUUCCGGCUCGGGUGGCAGCAGUGCGGCGAGCGUCGCCCUUGCAAGACGUUCCAGUGCCACGGCAAUGGGCGUGCGGUCUUCAUCCGCCUUCAUUUGCGACAGGGAUGAAGCUACGUGACGGUGGUGGCAUUCUCACACGAUGGACAGAGGUGACGGAGGGGGAAUGUGUGGAAGAAGACAUACGCGAAUAGAUAAGGUCGCAGAGGGGGAAACGAUGGAUGAGCCACGUGUCGAGCAUAGCGCAUGGUUUACGUUCCGUGAGAAUCAGUCGGUUGAUUUUAAUGAUUUUCCCUAAUUUAACGGUUAAUGUAUUGUUAUGUCCAAAAUGAAAAAUCCCAAACCAAAACAAUUACAAUCUGUAUGUAUUAGAUGAAUAAUUGAUGCUUCAAUUUCUAAAUUUAAACUAACUUUUAAAAAAAAUGUGGUUUCUAAGCUUGUGUCAUGUAGUCCUUCAACUAAACGCAAUACGGAUGUCUAAUUCUUAAGUGCAAUCAACGUGCAUGCAUGUACACAUUUACCAGUCUGCCUAAAUCACCGCAAGGUAACCAAAGGCAAAAUCUUUUUUUGACCUGUUACUUGACGAUCCGUACCCGGUGUAUAAUUUCAUUGCUAUACGAAGGAGGGGAAAUUUAAGUGUCAUGUAGGGUAUACGAGCAAAAUCCCGAUGGCAUAUAUAUGGAAUUCAAUCAAUUUAAAACAUCCCAAGAUACUUUUUAGCUGUUUCGGGACAAAAAUGUUUAGGCCCUGUGUAGUGCUUCUUUUUUGGCUACCUACAAUGGAAUUUCCAAGAACUCCUGUCUAGGAUCCUCAGUCAAAAGGGAAAUAACACGCACUACUGAUCAAUCAGCGUAAGUACGUCCAAGUCUGGCUGGAACCAUAUGGCGUUCAUGGGCUCUUUGGCAUAGAAGGAAGGGUAGUAGCAUUGCUCCCGAAAUGAGUAGAACGCGUGCAUUCUGCCACCACCGUCGGUCUCGUUAUAGUUCGGUAGGAACACCUUGUUAUAUGAAUCUUCUUCGGCAGGCGGCACAUGAAUCAGAGCAUUGGUCCUAUCCCAAAACACGGCCGCAUCCUCCAUCCCUUGCAACUCCAACCAAACCAUCUGAGACCUUUCUAGCUUGAACGUUCUGACGGAUGCAUCACAAGUCUCCCUGAAAAUGGCGAUUAGCUCCCCCUUCCACUCCACCAGAUAGUUGUAGUCUCGUUCCUUAGGAUGCACGUCAUCGCUCCCACGUAUCGGCUGAUCCGGCUUUUUGAGGACGCUAAACUCCAUCUCUUCCUCGCUCGGGUCUAUGACUCCAAGCCUUCCAUUGAUGUCCAGAAGAUAGAAGACUCCAUCUAGGAAGACAGGGUUGUGUGAUGCCAAGAAGAACGGCGCGUCAUCGUCGCUUAGUACUUCUUCCUUCCACUCUUCAUCUCCCAUUCGCCAUGUAUUUAUAAUGAUAACUUCGCUUCUUGGGGUAGAUCCUGCGGCAAGGACCACGAAGUCCGGAGAACCUGGUACCGAAGAAAAUGAGAAUCCUUUGAAAGCUUCUAGUUCCAAAGGUGGAAGAGCGAUCACAUGGCCACCAUUAGGGUAGUUCUUGAACGGAUUCACUAGGAAGAAGAUGUGGUCGCCGCCUCUCGACACGAUGACCCAACCGUUCUUUGUGUAAUGCAGUAACUGCGAUCCUUGAGAUUUGAGACGUGAAGUAGGAAUAUUUACCCUGAUACUAUACUUCUUCUCGCCCACUGGAUCGAAGAUCUCAAUAAGAUCCUCCUUGGUCCUUGCUGCUCGCCGAGUUGUCAUGAGUAAUGGUGACACUUUUGCAUGUUGUAUCGGGCUAUUAAUGGAGUUCCACUGCUUGCAGACAGCUCUCAGGUGUAUUAAAUCGAUGAAUGAAAUUUUGGGUACUAGUAACUGCAACAAGUCGAUAUGGAGAUCAGACCACGGCCUCGCAGUGCUCUCCCCUUUUUCUUGCUCUCCGCAGCAAUGUUCAAUUCUUCUAUGCGUCACCUGUCAAGUACAGGUUAAACUUGCGUACUCAGCCAUGUUAAUUUACAAGUAAUAUAAUCAUGUAGUACAUACUUACUUGGUUGGAGACAUUAUCAGAAGUUUGGAUAGCUCGCGCUGCUUCCAGACCGAAGCUGAAAAUACAUAAACAGAAACAUUAAACGACCUCACAAUGGCUACAUGCAUCGAUUGAUGCAGAGGCCGGGGGUUCGUUUCCUUCUUCUCCAAAAUAAAUAAAUUAAACGACCUCACAAAUACCACUACAACUCGUACAAAUACUUUACAAAUGGAGCGAGUGGAAUAAAACUUACCUAGUGGGAAGGGCCCAGAAAGCCCGGUCCUCGCCAUAAUAAUAAUCAUCAUCCUAAUCGAUCAUGCCAAGUUAAUAUAAACCAGAAAAACUUCUCUCUCAUAGGACCUAGUCCUCUCUCCUAGGUAAAAUGUCAUAAAAUAGAAUAAUACCUAUGUCUCCGUGAUGAAGCAAAGAGAUCCAACAGUCUCCANUACCAAAUUCACGGCAAGCUUCACACAGCACAUGGAUGCAGUUAGGUUGGGUUCCUGCUUCAGCCGCUGAUGGGACCGCAAAAGUAAACCUGCCUACAAAGAAGGUUUUGUCCCCGAUGGUUUCGACCGUCUCCCACGCAUUGUCUUGGUCGUUCCAUCGAAAAACCUUGACUUCCACCACGGCCGGCGGGCACCCAAAGAUGCAGCAGCGCACCAAGAAGAGCUCGCCGUCGGGACACGGCACCGGGUAGCACUUGUACCUAGGAUGCAGUGGGCACUGGGGCGGGCUCAUCAUGUCCGCCCUCUCGACCACCGGCGCUAGGCUGGAAGAUGCGUCGACAACCACGAAGGAUGCCAUGGUCGUCGCGUACACCUUCCCCUGGUAGCCAGGGGUUAUGGGGCCGUCCAACACAUCAUUCUCAUCCACCAACUCCACGGGAAGACGGGACCACUCGGGGUCACCGGGGCGGCAGUGGAGGAGGAACUUCUCCCGGACGAAGUCUAGCAGGACGGUGCAGUCGGGCGGGGUUUGCCCCGAGAGCGCGCAGGCGAACUGUAGGCCCUGAUUCGGCUCGUCGGGCAACGGCGGGAGAGCGAUCACGAUGGGGGCCGACGGCCGCGUAUCAGCCAAGCUCACGAGGGAGCACUCGUCGGUGCUGUCGUCGAGCAUGAGCGACCAGUCUCCGUCCCGGCCGAGGCAUCGUUUUCCUUGCAACACCGGCAUGUCCGGCGUCUCGUCCCAGCGGCGGCAUCCGUUGAACGGCGCGACGAGGACGGGUUUGCUUGUCCGGUCGAACUGAACCACCCAUGGCGGCUGCGGCGUCUUGGCCAUGGCUUAGGGUUGUUCAAUCAAUCUCGAUCUCUGUUGAGCAGCGCGUAGGUACGUCUGGAUCGAUCGAUCUGUUGUGGCUAUAUAUGGAAGUUUGAGAGGACGGACCUCGUCCGUGUCUGUGUCUAUACAGAAUCGAUCCAGACCUACGUACCUCGUCCGUCUCGGGGUUGACUUGGAUCGAUCCCAGAGCGAUUUUUCAAGCCGUUUUUCUUUUCGUUUAGGUUUUCUUCGGGACUGGGUUUUGUUCAGUUUUUCUCUUUUUCUUUCUCUGUUUCUUUUCUUUACUCCGUUUUCUUUUUCCUUUAUUUUUUUCCUUUUCGAAAGUGCACAACUUUUUUCAAAUUCGAUAAUUUUUUUAAAAAGUUGGACUAAUUUUUUUGAAAAUAAAUGAUUUUUUCUCCAAUUUGAUGAAAUAUUUUUAGAAAUUGCUGAACUUUUUCAAAAUUGAUGAACUUUCCAAAAUUUGUGAACACUUUUAUAAAUUGAACGAUUUUUUAUAAAAAAAUAAUGAACCCUUUUCAAACUCAUGAACUUUUUACCAAAAUACAUGAAAAAAAUCAAAGGUCGGCCGAUCAACUAGCCAGCCGCCAACCAGUUAACCAUGUCCGAACGAACCUGAUCUUUCCUUUUGGAGCUAUAAACCAGUACACAUUUUUGAGCGAACCACUACAAGAUCUAGGCAAGUAACCACGUCGCGUUUUAUUGGGCUGGCCCAGAAUUCUGAGCGCAUGGGCCCUAGUUCUCCUAGUCGGCAUGCAUGAAAAAAACAUACUCCCUCCGUUUCUAAAUAUAAGUCUUUCUAAAGAUUUUACUAGUGAACUACAUACGGAUGUAUAUAGACAUAUUUUAGAAUGUAAAUUCAUUUAUUUUGUUUGUAUGUAGACAAUUAGUAAAAUCUUUUAAAAGACUUAUAUUUGGGAACGGAGGGAGUACAUAAAAAGGGAUGUUAAAAGAAGUGUUAAGAUAAGCAUGCAUGAAAAGGAAACAGUUAUAUUGAUAUGAAGAUGUAACCAAACACACCCUUAAGCCAACCACUAGGAGGUUUCGGUUCGACGGACGGAUCCUAUUCAGCGCCUCAAGCAGUGCGAACUAUGACGACCUAUCCUCUUUAUUUUUCCUAUUCCCUCCGUCCUAAAAUAAGUAUCUCAAGAUUAUAGUAGCUCCAAUAUAAAGUUGUACUUAGCUUCACAUACUUAAGAAACUUCAAAAUGUUGCAUAAAUACUUCGUUUUCCCCUUUGAUUUGUUUUAUGGAUUUUUUCUUUUUCUUUUUCUCACCUUUUUUUGUUUCAUUCUAAUGCGCGUUUUUUUAUUAAAUUCAUAACCUUUUUUCUUAACUAACAAACUUUUUUCAGAUUUGAUGAACUUUUUUCAAAUUCGAUGAUCUGUUUUCAAAUUCUAUUGUUUCCCCUUGUUGAACUUUUCCUAUUUUCGAUGAGAUUUUUUCAAAAUUGAUUAACUUUUUCUUAAAAUCGAUGAAGUUUUUUCCAAAAUCGAUAAACUUUUUUUAAAAUUGGAUUAACUUUUUUCCAAAAUGGAUGAUUUUUUUUAUAAUCGUCGCAUACACGUUCCUCUGCUGGCGGUGGUUAUCGGGACGCGGAGAGCGUGCAGCCAAACCGCAGGCGUGGCGGUGCCGUGUUCUCGGGCAAUAGCGGGAGAACGAUCACGGUGGGGGCCAACAACGACGUAUCAGCAAAGCCCGAUCAACGAGCACGUAUUGUUGAUCUCCUCGAGCAUGAGCGACUAGUCCGCGUCCCGGUCGAGGCAUCACUUCCCUUGCAGCACUGCCACAUCGGUCGUCGUCUCCGCAUACUGGUGGGCGCAUCCGCCGAACGGGGCGACAAGGAGGGGUUCACCGCUCAUCUUGUUGAAUUGAACCACCCAUGACGUCUGCUUCUUCUUGGCCAUGAUAGGCUCCUUGGAUCUCUGUCCCGCAAUGGGUCAAGAUCAAUCGAUUAUGCGAGGCUUGACUUUGAUCUCAAUCUGUUUUUAUGACCUAUGAUAUUUUUUUCUUGAGCAGUUUGCAAGUUUAUCCAGCAGCCACAUAUGACGGCCAAAACCCAGAGUAGUGGCCGCCUUUGCAAGUUUAUGAGGAGCAAUUCACUUUGGCUCGUAGAUGUAGAUGUACUCAUUGUUUAAUACAUAUUUUAAAAAGUAAAAGGAACCAUAAAAAAUUUCGAGUGUACAUGUGAACAUUAUAUGUUCAUGCAUAAAGUUUCAGAGAAAAAGAAAAAAAAAUUGUGACUUGUGUAGAAAAGAUAAUUUUCGAUGCUUGAUUAUAACUAUCCACGAGACAUUUUUUAUCCUUUUAUACAAGAUAUUAUUUUAUCUUAAGGACAUGAGUGACUGUCAGCCAAGUAGUGGGAAAGAAAUAAAGGACAAUAAGAGGGAGGGACGUGACGUGUGAGGUAGACUACAAAGAAUGGGCAGCUAAAUUUAAGAUUGCUAUGGCAGAGGAUGCAGCAAAGAGAGAGCGGGAGAAUGAACUCUUUAUGGAGAGGGUGCUGGAAGAGGCUUCAAAAAUGCACAAAAGGGAAGACGAAGAGGAAGAAGAGAGGAAGAAGAAAAGGGGGAAGGGGCCUUGCUCGACACAAUAGAGCCGGAGGCUUCUAUUCUCAUGCGCGCUUUCAUGUUUGAACCCUAUAUGUUGAACCUUGUUCGCUUGCGUGCUAUCUGACUAUGAAAUCCACUAUUAUGUACUUUAAGAACCUAUUAUGCAUCGUUGGACGUAUGUGUGAACUUUAAUGGGAACUCUUUGUGAUGUUUGUACUUUAUAUGGGCUAUGUUGUGUGUAUUCUUUAUAUGAUGUGUGUAUUCUUUGUUUUUAGUUGCAUAUGUCAUCUGUAUGUUGUCUGUGUGAAUGUGCUAAAUGUGGCAUGUAUGAUGUCUGUGUGAAAAUGCUAAAUGGGCAAAAUCAUGUAUGUGAAACGCCAGCCCCUUUGGUGUUUCAGACUGUACCCGCAACGCCAGCCUUAGUGGCGUUUCCUUAGUCCAGUACCACAAAUACCAUGUCUUCGUCAGUGUUGCAGCUCUACAAGAAACGCCAGCCCUUAGGGCGUUGCAGCCUCCACAAGAAACGCCAACUACUGUGGCGUUCCGUUAGUCUAGUACCGCAAAUUUCAUGUCCUCGUCAGCGUUGCAGCUCUACAAGAAACGCUAGCCCUUAGGGCGUUGCAGGCUCUACAAGAAACGCCAGCCUCUGUGGCGUUUCCUUAGUCCAGUACCGCAAAUACCAUGUCUUCGUUAGCGUUGCAGCUCUACAAGAAACGCCAGCCCUUUGGGCGUUGCAGGCUCUACAAGAAACGCCAGCCUCAGUGGCGUUUCCUUACUCCAGUACCAAAAUUUCCAUGAAUACUUCGAACUUCAAACUUUAAAACCCAAGUUAGAAUGACAUGACAAGUUGAUACUUCAAACUUCAUAACCCAAGUUGAUACUUCAAAGUACUUAAAAUUCCAUAAGCCAAGUUGAUACUUCAAACUUCAAACUACUUAAAACUACAAGAACCCAAGUUCUUACUUCAAACUUCAAAGUACAUAAAACUCCAUAAGAAAGUUCAAUACUAGCAUGACAUGACACUAAUAGUUCAUAAUUCAUUUCCUUCCUCUCUUCGCAGCCAUCUUGUCCUUAGUGACGUAGCCCUCUGGAGUAUUCUGCCAGCCAGGACGUCGGACGUUCCUUGAGCUAGCUCGACAUGUUUCUUCCGUCGCCUGAGUGGGUUGACUUGGCUGCGGAGCAUCUUCCAUCUGCGAAGCCCCAAACUCGAUGAAGUCCGGGUCCGCGGCCUCGUUGUCUGACUCCUCUUCUUCUUCCUCAAACUCCUCAACAUGUGCUCGGCUAGAAGAAGCACGUGCUCGACUCGAAGAUGGGCGAGCAGAAGAGGCCCGUGGACGGCUGGCACACGGACGAGCGGAAGACUGCACAUCCAUCGUGUACUGCGCACGUGCCCUCACAUCGGUGGAUGAAACACUAUGGCAGGAAAGUAAAGCCGCUAGUGUGCGACAGCGAUUGGCGACCUUCUGCGCAAGGAAAAGAUAAUGACAUGUUAAUAUGCUAACAAAGCUACGACAACUAAAACAAAGGUUAACAAGGCAUCUAACAUAUAGAGUAGUUCUAACAAACCCGUCCAUUUGUGAAGAUGGGGCACGGCCAAGGGCCACGUUACUAUCGUUGAUACAUCUCCAUAGCUCCGUGCCCUGGAUAAAACAUAUGUGACAUACCACCCACGAAUAAAUGACACUUGUUCAUAUUUUCCGUGCCCUGGAUAAAACAUAUGUGACAUACCACCCACGAAUAAAUGACACUUGUUCAUAAUGCGCUCCAACUGUCUUCCUAAUAGAAUUGUUGAAUGCAGCAUCAGCACCCUCACUCGGGAGUAAGUCCAAGCAAUCGGAACGAGUCCAGGCUACCUUAUGGAUAACUCUAUACUCUGUACGCAUCCACUCCAAAUGCCUUAAAUAUGUCGCCUCGUCAGUGUCGGGUGUUUGAUCAUUUUCAACUCGAGCAUCUCUCUGAGCAUUCCACAUGUCCACCCAAAUCAUGUGGUGCUCCUCCCAAUUGAUGACACUCUUAUUGGUUUGCCGGUUUGUCCUACAAAGCAAUAGUUCAAUACUACAUCAGUUCCAUUUUUUCGGGUUAGACAUUGAUCAACAUGAUAAACACGUGAUACAAAAUACUCACUUAUGUAGCUGCACACUUGUCUCGACGUAAUCCGGCGGGGUGCGUUGUUGUACCCCGAACUGCUUUGAAACACGAUGAGGAAGAUGCCACUCCACCGCAAAGAAGCAUAUCAUGGGGCACCGCACACGCCAAAGAUGCUGGUCACGAAGGCACAUGUUGCUCAGAGGAAACUGCCUAAGUACCGUGUACGGCCUCCAAUUCACCUACAUAACGACAAGUCACUCGACCAUUCAUGAAAAAUUUCCAAACAAUUUACGAAAGCAUUUACCUGUUCAUAAGUCAGCAUGUCUAGCUCGCUUAUGUAUGCCUUAUACCGCCCCAUAGCUGCGAUACUCGUCCAUUGGACAUUAGCCCAUGUGUGUGUGAUAGUGGGGUACCGCUCCUCAUCUCCGUCAAACGGGUACAUCCAAGGUUCUUCCGGAGGAAGGCUGAGGUUACGACCAACAGGCAUACGCUCCCACAUCUAAACCAGUAGGGCCCAAACAAAACCUCCAAGAGUGGACGUCGGCUUGCUCCUCAUACAUGCUCCAUCCAACUACAAAUUUAAUAAAAUGAAAAUGUUGGAAAUAUGCCCUAGAGGCAAUAAUAAAUUAGUUAUUAUUAUAUUUCUUUGUUCAUGAUAAUCGUUUAUUAUCCAUGCUAUAAUUGUAUUGAUUGGAAACACAGUGCAUGUGUGGAUACAUAGACAAAACACUGUCCCUAGUAAGCCUCUAGUUGACUAGCUCGUUGAUCAAAGAUGGUCAAGGUUUCCUGACCAUAGGCAAGUGUUGUCACUUGAUAACGGGAUCACAUCAUUAGGAGAAUCAUGUGAUGGACUAGACCCAAACUAAUAGACGUAGCAUGNACAGUGCAUGUGUGGAUACAUAGACAAAACACUGUCCCUAGUAAGCCUCUAGUUGACUAGCUCGUUGAUCAAAGAUGGUCAAGGUUUCCUGACCAUAGGCAAGUGUUGUCACUUGAUAACGGGAUCACAUCAUUAGGAGAAUCAUGUGAUGGACUAGACCCAAACUAAUAGACGUAGCAUGUUGAUCGUGUCAUUUUGUUGCUACUGUUUUCUGCGUGUCAAGUAUUUGUUCCUAUGACCAUGAGAUCAUAUAACUCACUGACACCAGAGGAAUGCUUUGUGUGUAUCAAAAGUCGCAACGUAACAGGGUGACUAUAAAGAUGCUCUACAGGUAUCUCCGAAGGUGUUCGUUGAGUUAGUAUGGAUCAAGACUGGGAUUUGUCACUCCGUAUGACGGAGAGGUAUCUCGGGGCCCACUCGGUAAUACAACAUCACACACAAGCCUUGCAAGCAAUGUGACUUAGUGUAAGUUGCGGGAUCUUGUAUUACGGAACGAGUAAAUAGACUUGUUGGUAAACGAGAUUGAAAUAGGUAUGCGGAUACUGACGAUCGAAUCUCAGGCAAGUAACAUACCGAAGGACAAAGUGAAUGACAUACGGGAUUAUAUGAAUCCUUGGCACUGAGGUUCAAACGAUAAGAUCUUCGUAGAAUAUGUAGGAUCCAAUAUGGGCAUCCAGGUCCCUCUAUUGGAUAUUGACCGAGGAGUCUCUCGGGUCAUGUCUACAUAGUUCUCGAACCCGCGGGGUCUGCACACUUAAUGUUCGACGUUGUUUUAUGCGUAUUUGAGUUAUAUGGUUGGUUACCGAAUGUUGUUCAGAGUCCCGGAUGAGAUCACGGACGUCACGAGGGUUUCCGGAAUGGUCCGGAAACGAAGAUUGAUAUAUAGGAUGACCUCAUUUGGUUACCGGAAGGUUUUCGUGCAUUACCGGAAAAGUUUCGGUCUCAUCGGUAGUGUACUGGGAGUGCCGGGAGGGAUGCCGGGGACCAUCAGGAGGGGUGUCACGCCCCAAGGGAUCUCAUGGGCUAUGGGAAGAGAUAAACCAGCCCCUAGUGGCCUGGAAUAGGUUCCCACUAAGGCCCAUAAGGUUUGAGAAGGAAAAAACACAAGGUGGAAAGAGUUUCCAAGUGGGAAGGUGGAAUCCUACUCCAAGUAGGAUUGGAGUAGGACUCCUCCACCUCCAAUUUCGACCAAACCUUUAGGUUUUGAGGCUGUCUCCUCCCCCACCCUCCCUGCUAUAUAUAGUGGGGUUUUAGGGCUGAUUUGAGACAACUUUUGCCACGGCAGCCCGACCACAUACCUCCACGGUUUUACCUCUAGAUCGCGUUUCUGCGGAGCUCGAGCGGAGCCCUGCUGAGAUUAGAUCACCACCAACCUCCGGAGCAUCGUCACACUGCCGGAGAACUCAUCUACCUCUCCGUCUCUCUUGCUGGAUCAAGAAGGCCGAGAUCAUUGUCGAGCUGUACGUGUGCUAAACGCGGAGGUGUCGUCCGUUCGGCACUAGAUCGGAGCGGAUCGUGGGACGGAUCGCGGGACGGUUCGUGGGACGGUUCGCGGAGAGGAUCGAGGGACGUGAGUACGUUCAACUACAUCAACCGUGUUUCUUAACGCUUCUGCUGUGAGAUCUACACGGGUACGUAGAUCGGAAAUCCCCUCUCGUAGAUGGACAUCACCAUGAUAGGUCUUCGUGCGCGUAGGAAAAUUUUUGUUUCCCAUGCGAUGUUCCCCAACAGUGGCAUCAUGAGCUAGGUUCAUCCGUAGAUGUAAUCUCGAGUAGAACACAAAAGGUUUUGUGGGCGGUGAUGUGCGUUUUGCUGCCCUCCUUAGUCUUUUCUUGAUUCCGCGGUAUUGUUGGAUCGAAGCGGCUCGGACCGACAUUACUCGUACGCUUACGAGAGACUGGUUUCAUCGCUACGAGUAACUCCGUUGCUCAAAGAUGACCGGCGAGUGUCAGUUUCUCCAACUUUAGUUGAAUCGGAUUUGACCGAGGAGGUCCUUGGAUGAGGUUAAAUGGCAAUUCAUAUAUCUCGGUUGUGGUGUUUGCGUAAGUAAGAUGCGAUCCUACUAGAUACCCAUGGUCACCACGUAAAACAUGCAACAACAAUUAGAGGACGUCUAACUUGUUUUUGCAGGGUAUGCUUGUGAUGUGAUAUGGCCAACGAUGUGAUGUGAUAUAUUGGAUGUAUGAGAUGAUCAUGUUGUAAUAGUUAAUAUCGACUUGCACGUCGAUGGUACGACAACUGGCACGAGCCAUAGGGUUGUCUUCAAACUAACGUUUGUGCUUGCAGAUGUGUUUACUAUAUUGCUAGGACGUAGCUUUAGUAGUAAUAGCAUGAGUAGCACGACAACCCCGAUGGCGACACGUUGAUGGAGAUCAUGGUGUGACGCCGGUGACAAGAAGAUCNNNNNNNNNNNNNNNNNNNNNNNNNNNNNNNNNNNNNNNNNNNNNNNNNNNNNNNNNNNNNNNNNNNNNNNNNNNNNNNNNNNNNNNNNNNNNNNNNNNNNNNNNNNNNNNNNNNNNNNNNNNNNNNNNNNNNNNNNNNNNNNNNNNNNNNNNNNNNNNNNNNNNNNNNNNNNNNNNNNNNNNNNNNNNNNNNNNNNNNNNNNNNNNNNNNNNNNNNNNNNNNNNNNNNNNNNNNNNNNNNNNNNNNNNNNNNNNNNNNNNNNNNNNNNNNNNNNNNNNNNNNNNNNNNNNNNNNNNNNNNNNNNNNNNNNNNNNNNNNNNNNNNNNNNNNNNNNNNNNNNNNNNNNNNNNNNNNNNNNNNNNNNNNNNNNNNNNNNNNNNNNNNNNNNNNNNNNNNNNNNNNNNNNNNNNNNNNNNNNNNNNNNNNNNNNNNNNNNNNNNNNNNNNNNNNNNNNNNNNNNNNNNNNNNNNNNNNNNNNNNNNNNNNNNNNNNNNNNNNNNNNNNNNNNNNNNNNNNNNNNNNNNNNNNNNNNNNNNNNNNNNNNNNNNNNNNNNNNNNNNNNNNNNNNNNNNNNNNNNNNNNNNNNNNNNNNNNNNNNNNNNNNNNNNNNNNNNNNNNNNNNNNNNNNNNNNNNNNNNNNNNNNNNNNNNNNNNNNNNNNNNNNNNNNNNNNNNNNNNNNNNNNNNNNNNNNNNNNNNNNNNNNNNNNNNNNNNNNNNNNNNNNNNNNNNNNNNNNNNNNNNNNNNNNNNNNNNNNNNNNNNNNNNNNNNNNNNNNNNNNNNNNNNNNNNNNNNNNNNNNNNNNNNNNNNNNNNNNNNNNNNNNNNNNNNNNNNNNNNNNNNNNNNNNNNNNNNNNNNNNNNNNNNNNNNNNNNNNNNNNNNNNNNNNNNNNNNNNNNNNNNNNNNNNNNNNNNNNNNNNNNNNNNNNNNNNNNNNNNNNNNNNNNNNNNNNNNNNNNNNNNNNNNNNNNNNNNNNNNNNNNNNNNNNNNNNNNNNNNNNNNNNNNNNNNNNNNNNNNNNNNNNNNNNNNNNNNNNNNNNNNNNNNNNNNNNNNNNNNNNNNNNNNNNNNNNNNNNNNNNNNNNNNNNNNNNNNNNNNNNNNNNNNNNNNNNNNNNNNNNNNNNNNNNNNNNNNNNNNNNNNNNNNNNNNNNNNNNNNNNNNNNNNNNNNNNNNNNNNNNNNNNNNNNNNNNNNNNNNNNNNNNNNNNNNNNNNNNNNNNNNNNNNNNNNNNNNNNNNNNNNNNNNNNNNNNNNNNNNNNNNNNNNNNNNNNNNNNNNNNNNNNNNNNNNNNNNNNNNNNNNNNNNNNNNNNNNNNNNNNNNNNNNNNNNNNNNNNNNNNNNNNNNNNNNNNNNNNNNNNNNNNNNNNNNNNNNNNNNNNNNNNNNNNNNNNNNNNNNNNNNNNNNNNNNNNNNNNNNNNNNNNNNNNNNNNNNNNNNNNNNNNNNNNNNNNNNNNNNNNNNNNNNNNNNNNNNNNNNNNNNNNNNNNNNNNNNNNNNNNNNNNNNNNNNNNNNNNNNNNNNNNNNNNNNNNNNNNNNNNNNNNNNNNNNNNNNNNNNNNNNNNNNNNNNNNNNNNNNNNNNNNNNNNNNNNNNNNNNNNNNNNNNNNNNNNNNNNNNNNNNNNNNNNNNNNNNNNNNNNNNNNNNNNNNNNNNNNNNNNNNNNNNNNNNNNNNNNNNNNNNNNNNNNNNNNNNNNNNNNNNNNNNNNNNNNNNNNNNNNNNNNNNNNNNNNNNNNNNNNNUCUCGAGUAGAACACAAAAGGUUUUGUGGGCGGUGAUGUGCGUUUUGCUGCCCUCCUUAGUCUUUUCUUGAUUCCGCGGUAUUGUUGGAUCGAAGCGGCUCGGACCGACAUUACUCGUACGCUUACGAGAGACUGGUUUCAUCGCUACGAGUAACUCCGUUGCUCAAAGAUGACCGGCGAGUGUCAGUUUCUCCAACUUUAGUUGAAUCGGAUUUGACCGAGGAGGUCCUUGGAUGAGGUUAAAUGGCAAUUCAUAUAUCUCGGUUGUGGUGUUUGCGUAAGUAAGAUGCGAUCCUACUAGAUACCCAUGGUCACCACGUAAAACAUGCAACAACAAUUAGAGGACGUCUAACUUGUUUUUGCAGGGUAUGCUUGUGAUGUGAUAUGGCCAACGAUGUGAUGUGAUAUAUUGGAUGUAUGAGAUGAUCAUGUUGUAAUAGUUAAUAUCGACUUGCACGUCGAUGGUACGACAACUGGCACGAGCCAUAGGGUUGUCUUCAAACUAACGUUUGUGCUUGCAGAUGUGUUUACUAUAUUGCUAGGACGUAGCUUUAGUAGUAAUAGCAUGAGUAGCACGACAACCCCGAUGGCGACACGUUGAUGGAGAUCAUGGUGUGACGCCGGUGACAAGAAGAUCGUGCCGGUGCUUUGGUGAUGGAGAUCAAGAAGGACAUGAUGAUGGCCAUAUCAUCUCACUUAUGAAUUGCAUGUGAUGUUAAUCCUUUAUGCACCUUAUCUUGCUUAGAACGACGGUAGCAUUAUGAGGUGAUCUCUCACUAAAAUUUCAAGACGAAAUUGUGUUCUCCCCGACUGUGCACCGUUGCGACAGUUCUUCGUUUCGAGACACCAUGUGAUGAUCGGGUGUGAUAGACUCAAUGUUCACAUACAACGGGUGCAAAACAGUUGCACACGCGGAACACUCGGGUUAAGCUUGACGAGCCUAGCAUGUGCAGACAUGGCCUCGGAACACAUGGGACCGAAAGGUCGAGCAUGAAUCGUAUAGUUGAUAUGAUUAGCAUAGAGAUGCUUACCACUAAAACUAUUCUCGACUCACGUGAUGAUCGGACUUGAGAUAGUGGAUUUGGAUCAUGUACCACUCAAAUGACUAGAGAGAUGUACUUUUUGAGUGGGAGUUCUUAAGUAAUAUGAUUAAUUGAACUAAUUGUCAUGAACAUAGUCUAAUGGUCUUUGCGAAUUACGAUGUAGCUUGCGCUAUAGCUCUACUGUUUUUAUAAGUUCCUAGAGAAAAUUUAGUUGAAAGUUGAUAGUAGCAAACUUUGCGGACUGAGUCUGUAAAACUAAGGAUUGUCCUCGUUGCUGUGCAGAAGGCUUAUGUCCUUAAUGCACCACUCAGUGUGCUGCACCUCGAGCGUCGUCUGUGGAUGUUGUGAACAUCCUACAUACACGUUUCUGAUGACUACGCGAUAGUUCGGUGCAAAAUACUUAAUGGCUUAGAAGCGUGGCGCCGAAGACGUUUUAAAACGUCACGGAACAUGAGUGAUCUUCUAAAGAGAUGAAAUUGUGAUUUCAUGCUUGUGCCCUUGUUAAGAGGUAUGAGACCUCCGACAAGAUUCUUUGUCCAUGAAGUAAAGGAGAAAAACUCAAUCGUUGAGUGUGUGCUCAGAUUGUCUGAGUACGACAAUCACUUGAAUCAAGUGGGAGUAAAUCUUCCAGAUGAGAUAGUGAUGGUUCUCCAAAGUCACUGCCACCAAGCUGUGAGAGCUUCGUGAUGAACUAUAACAUAUCAAGGAUAGAUACAAUGAUCCUUGAGAGAUUCAUGAUGUAUGACACUGCGAAAGUAGAAAUCAAGAAGGAGCAUCAAUGGUUGAUGGUUAGUAAAACCACUAAGUUUCAUGAAAGGCAAGGGCUAGAAGGGAUACUUCGUGAAACAGCAAAACAGUUGCUGCACUAAUGAAGAGACCCAAGUCUAAACCCAAACCCGAGACUAAGUGCUUCUGUUAUGAGAGAACGGUCACUGAGGCGGAGCUACCCUAGAUGCUUGGUAGAUAAGUAGGCUGGCAAAGUCGAAAGUAGUAUAUUUGAUAUACAUGAUGUUGAUGUGUGCUUUACUAGUACUCCUAGUAGCGCGAGUGUAUUGGAUACCGGUUCAGAUGCUAAGUGAUUGGUAACACGAAAUGAAAGCUACGGAAUAAACGGAGACUAGGUAAAGGCGAGGUGACGAUACGUGUUGGAAGUGUUUCCAAGGUUGAUAUGAUCAAACGUCGCACGCUCCCUCUAUCAUCUGGAUUGGUGGUGAAACCCAAAUAAUUUUUAUUUGGUGUUUGCGUUGAGCAUGAACAUGAUUGGAUCAUGUUUGUUGCAAUACGAUUAUUCAUUUAAAAGAAUAAUAGUUAUUCUAUUUGCUUGAAUAAUUACCCUCAAUGGUUUAUUGAAUCUCGAUCGUAGUGUUACACAUGUUCAUAAUAUUAGUGCCAAAAGAUAAAAAGUAAUAAUGAUAGUACCACUUAGUUGUUGCACUGUCACUUGAGUCAUGUUGGUGUAAAAUGCAUGAAGAAGCUCCAUGUUGAUGGAUCGUUUGGACUCACUUGAUUUUGAAUCACUUGAGACAUGCAAAACAUGCCACAUGAAACAAGUAGAGUAACUUGUUUGGAGUAAUGCAUUUUUGAUGUGUGCAGUCCAAUAAGUGCUAAGGCACGCAGUGGAUAUCAUUAUGUUCUUACUUCACUGACGAUUUGAGUAGAUACAGGAGUAUUUACUUGAUGAAUCACAAGUCUGAAAUGUUGAAAAGUUCAAAGCUAUUUUAGAGUGAAGAUCGUCGUGACAAGAGGAUAAACAGUCUACGAUAUGAUCAUAGAGUUGAAUAUCUGAGUUACGAGUUUUGGUACGCAGUUAAGACAAUGUGGAAAUUGUUUUGCAGUUCAUGCCACCUGGAACACCAUAGUGUGAUGAUGUGUCUGAACGUCUUAGCCACGCCCUAUUUGAUAUGGUGCAUACUAUGAUGUCUCUUAUCGAAUUACCACUAUCAUUUAUGGGUUAUGCAUUAGAGACAACCGCAUUCACUUUAAAUAGGGCACCGCGUAUUUCCGUUGAGAUGACACAGUAUAGACUAAGGUUUAGAGAAAUAUAAGCUGUUGUUUCUUGAAAGUUUGGAGCUGCGAUGCUUAUGUGAAAAAGUUUCAGUCUGAUAAGCUCGAACCCAAAGCGGAUAAAUGCAUCUUCAUAAGAUAUCCAAAACAGUUGGAUACAGCUCCUAUCUCAGAUCCGGAAGCAAAGUGUUUGUUUCUAGAAACGGGUUCUUUCUUGAGGAAAGGUUUCUCUCGAAAGAAUUGAGUGGGAGGGUGAUAGAACUUGAUGAGGUUAUUGAACCAUCACUUCGACUAGUGUGUAGAAGGGCACAGGAAGUUGUUCCUGUGGCGCCUACACCAAUUGAAGUGGAAGCUGAUGAUGGUGAUCAUUGAGCUUCGGAUCAAGUUACUACAAACCUCGUAGGUCGACAAGGUCGCGUACUACUACAGAGUGGUAUGGUAACCAUGUCUUGGAGGUCAUGUUGUUGAACAAUAAUGAACCUACGAGCUGUGGAGAAGCGAUGGUGGGCUCGGAUUCCGACAAAUGGCUGGAAGCCAUGAAAUCCGAGAGAGGAUCCAUGUAUGAAAACAAAGUGUAGACUUUGGAAGAACUACUUGAUGGUCGUAGGACUAUUGAGUAAAGAUGGAUCUUUAAAAGGAAGACAGACGACGAUGGUGAUAAGUCACUAUUAAGAAAAGCUCGACUUGUCGCAAAGAUGUUUCCGACAUGAUCAAACAGUUGACUAUGGUGAGACUUUCUCACUCGUAGCGAUGCUAAAAGUCUGUUAGAAUUAUGUUAGUAGUUGUUGCAUUAUUUUUGGUUGAAAUAUUGCACAUAGGAUGUCAAAACAUUGUUUCCUCGACUAUUUCCUUGAGCAAACAUUGUAUGUGAUACAACCAGAAGGUUUUGUCGAUCCUAAAGAUACUAACAAGUAUGCAAGCUCCAGCGAUCCUUCAAUGGACUGGUGCAAGCAUCUCGGAGUUGGAAUAUACAAUUUGAUGAGAUGAUCAAAGAUUUUGGGUUUGUACAAGGUUUAUGAGAAACUUGUAUUUCCAAAGAAGUGAGUGGGAGCACUAUAGAAUUUUUGAUAAGUAUAUGUGGUUGACAUAUUGUUGAUCAGAAGUAAUGUAGAAUUUCUGUGAAGCAUAAAAGGUUGUUUGAAAAGAGUUUUUCAAAGGAAUACCUGGAUUGAGCUACUUGAACGUUGAGCAUCAAGAUCUAUGGAGAUAGAUCAAAACGCUUAAUAGAAGUUUCAACAAGAUGCAUGCCUUGACAAGUUUUUGAAGGAAUUCAAAAUAGAUCAGCAAAGAAGGAGUUCUUGACUGUGUUGUAAGGUGUGAAUUUGAGUAAGACUCGAAACCUGACCACGGCAGAAUAAAGAGAAUAGACGAAGGUCGUCUUCUAUGCCUUAGCCGUAGAAUCUGAAGUAUGCCAUGCUGAGGACCGCACCUGAUGUGUGCCUUGACUCAAAGUCUGUUGAGAGGUACAGAGAGUGAUCCAUGAUUGAAUCACUAGCAGCGGUCAAAAUUUAUCCUUAGUAACUGAUGGACUAAGGAAUUUUUCUCGAUUAUGGAGGUGGUUAAAAAGUUCGUCGUAAAGGGUUACGUCGAUGCAAGCUUUGACACUAAUCCGAAUAACUAUGAGUAGUGAAACGGAUUCGUAUAGUAGAGUAGAUAUUUGGAGUAUUUCCGAAUAGCACAUAGUAGCAGCAUCUAUAAGAUGACAUAAAGAUUUGUAAAGAACACACGGAUCUGAAAGUUUCAGAACCGUUGACUAAAACCUCUCUCACGAGCAAGACGUGAUCAGACCCCAUAACUAUAUGGGUGUUGGAUUCGUUGGAAUCACAUGGUGAUGUGAACUAGAUUAUUGACUCUAGUGCAAGUGGGAGACUGUUGGAAAUAUGCCCUAGAGGCAAUAAUAAACUAGUUAUUAUUAUAUUUCUUUGUUCAUGAUAAUCGUUUAUUAUCCAUGCUAUAAUUGUAUUGAUUGGAAACACAGUGCAUGUGUGGAUACAUAGACAAAACACUGUCCCUAGUAAGCCUCUAGUUGACUAGCUCGUUGAUCAAAGAUGGUCAAGGUUUCCUGACCAUAGGCAAGUGUUGUCACUUGAUAACGGGAUCACAUCAUUAGGAGAAUCAUGUGAUGGACUAGACCCAAACUAAUAGACGUAGCAUGNACAGUGCAUGUGUGGAUACAUAGACAAAACACUGUCCCUAGUAAGCCUCUAGUUGACUAGCUCGUUGAUCAAAGAUGGUCAAGGUUUCCUGACCAUAGGCAAGUGUUGUCACUUGAUAACGGGAUCACAUCAUUAGGAGAAUCAUGUGAUGGACUAGACCCAAACUAAUAGACGUAGCAUGUUGAUCGUGUCAUUUUGUUGCUACUGUUUUCUGCGUGUCAAGUAUUUGUUCCUGUGACCAUGAGAUCAUAUAACUCACUGACACCAGAGGAAUGCUUUUUGUGUAUCAAACGUCGCAACGUAACAGGGUGACUAUAAAGAUGCUCUACAGGUAUCUCCAAAGGUGUUCGUUGAGUUAGUAUGGAUCAAGACUAGGAUUUGUCACUCCGUAUGACGGAGAAGUAUCUCGGGGCCCACUCGGUAAUACAACAUCACACACAAGCCUUGCAAGCAAUGUGACUUAGUGUAAGUUGCGGGAUCUUGUAUUACGGAACGAGUAAAAAGACUUGUGGGUAAACGAGAUUGAAAUAGGUAUGCGGAUACUGACGAUCGAAUCUCAGGCAAGUAACAUACCGAAGGACAAAGGGAAUGACAUACGGGAUUAUAUGAAUCCUUGACACUGAGGUUCAAACGAUAAGAUCUUCGUAGAAUAUGUAGGAUCCAAUAUGGGCAUCCAGGUCCCGCUAUUGGAUAUUGACCGAGGAGUCUCUCGGGUCAUGUCUACAUAGUUCUCGAACCCGCAGGGUCUGCACACUUAAGGUUCGACGUUGUUUUAUGCGUAUUUGAGUUAUAUGGUUGGUUACCGAAUGUUGUUCGGAGUCCCGGAUGAGAUCACGGACGUCACGAGGGUUUCCGGAAUGGUCCGGAAACGAAGAUUGAUAUAUAGGAUGACCUCAUUUGGUUACCGGAAGGUUUUCGUGCAUUACCGGAAAAGUUUCGGUCUCAUCGGUAGUGUACUGGGAGUGCCGGGAGGGGUGCCGGGGACCAUCAGGAGGGGUAUCACGCCCCAAGGGGUCUCAUGGGCUAUGGGAAGAGAUAAACCAACCCCUAGUGGCCUGGAAUAGGUUCCCACUAAGGCCCAUAAGGUUUGAGAAGGAAAAAACACAAGGUGGAAAGAGUUUCCAAGUGGGAAGGUGGAAUCCUACUCCAAGUAGGAUUGGAGUAGGACUCCUCCACCUCCAAUUUCGACCAAACCUUUAGGUUUUGAGGCUGCCUCCUCCCCACCCUCCCUUCUAUAUAUAGUGGGGUUUUAGGGCUGAUUUGAGACAACUUUUGCCACGGCAGCCCGACCACAUACCUCCACGGUUUUACCUCUAGAUCGCGUUUCUGCGGAGCUCGAGCGGAGCCCUGCUGAGAUUAGAUCACCACCAACCUCCGGAGCGUCGUCACGCUGCCGGAGAACUCAUCUACCUCUCCGUCUCUCUUGCUGGAUCAAGAAGGCCGAGAUCAUCGUCGAGCUGUACGUGUGCUAAACGCGGAGGUGUCGUCCGUUCGGCACUAGAUCGGAGCGGAUCGUGGGACGGAUCGCGGGACGGUUCGUGGGACGGUUCGCGGGGCGGGUCGACGGACGUGAGGACGUUCCACUACAUCAACUAUGUUUCUUAACGCUUCUGCUGUGAGAUCUACAAGGGUACUGUCACGCCCAAGAUGCGACCCUAUCCUCAAUUUGGCACGAGGGCCUCGUCAGGGAUAGAAGCGCAUCUCGUUGUGUCGCAAGAAUGGAUAUCGUUACAAGUACAUGUACUGAAAAGAAGAGAUAUAUAUAGAGUUGGCUUACACUCGCCACAAGCUACAUCAGAGUCACAGCAGUACAUUACAUAUUCAUCAAGAGUAAGAGCAGGGUCCGACUACGGACGAAAACUAACGACAAAAGAAGAACGACGUCCAUCCUUGCUAUCCCAGGCUGCCGGCCUGGAAACCAUCCUAGAUCGGUGAUGAUGAAGAAGAAGAAGAAACUCCAAAUGAACAAUCAACGCGCUCGCGUCAAGUAACCUUUACCUGUACCGGCAACUGGUGUUGUAGUAAUCUGUGAGCCACAAGGGACUCAGCAAUCUCAUUUCCAAAGGUAUCAAGACUAGCAAAGCUUAAUGGGUGAGGCAUGGUUAAGUGGUGAGGUUGCAGCAGCGGCUAAGCAUAUAUUUGGUGGCUAAACUUACGAGUACAAGAAAUAAGAGGGGGAAGAUCUACGCAUAACGAACGUGAACUACUGAUGAUCAAAUGAAUGAUCCUGAACACCUACCUACGUCAGACAUAACCCCACCGUGUCCUCGACCGGAGAAAGAACUCACGAAAGAGACAGUCACGGUUACGCACACAGUUGGCAAGUUUUAGUUAAGUUAACUUCAAGUUAUCUAGAACCAGUGUUAAACAAAGCUUCCACGUUGCCACAUAACCGCGGGCACGGCUUUCCGAAAAUAUUUAACCCUGCAGGGGUGCUCCAACUAGUCCAUCACAAAUUACCACAAGCCGCAUAGAAAUCCUCAAUCACGAAGCUUGCGAUCUCGUCGGAUUCCCUAGUGGAAAACCUCAACUCUGAGAUUACCCAAAGCAUCACCGGAAUCCCGGUGCACAAGAUAUUCCGUCAAAGGUAAAACUAAUCCAGCAAGGCCGCCCGACGUGUCGACGAUCCCGAUAGGAGUCGCGUACCUCGUUCUCAGGACACGGCGGAUGAGCUAGACGUCGGGAUCGCUAAACCUCCGGGUGACCAGAGGGGCGCCAGACAGCUCAGGUGGGGCCAACACUCAUGAGGAGCACUGGCCCGGGGGUUGAUUAAAUUAUCCUCGGGUUAAUUACUCCCUAUGCAGUUCAUUAGUUAUUAGGCAAAUGUAGUACCAAAGUUGGGCCUUGCCAGACCAGCUUUAAUCUAAAACGAAUUAUCAAGGGGGUCCCCAUAACAACCCCGAUCGUGUUAGGAGCGCUCGUUUAUGGAACAUGACACCGGUAGCCGGAAACUAAGGGGCAAAGGUGGAACAAAACACCAGGCUAGAAAGGCUGAGCCUUCCACCUUUUACCAAGUAUAUAGGUGCAUUAAAUUAAAUAGCAUUUAAAUAUGGUGAUAUAACAAGGAACCCAUGUUUUCACAUGGUAGCAACUGCACCUGCAACUAGCAACGCUAACAACAGGGUUAAGCAAGCAGUAACAUAGCCAAUCGGUGGUUUGCUAGGUCGAACAGGUUGAAGGUAAUCAUGGCAUUGUUGAGAGGCUGAUAUUUAACAUGUGGUAGGCAAUGAGACAUAAUCGAUAGCAUCUAAAUAACUAGCAUGGCAAUAAUAGUAAUGGUAUCUGGGGAAAUGGUCAUCUUGCCUGAGAUCCCGCUUGGAAGAAGAAUGACUCCGUGAAGUCGGCGAACCAACGUAGUCGAACGGGUCCUCACAUUCCGACACGCUUGCGGAACUCUAUCGAGACGGGCAAACCGGAAACAAACAUCAACACAAAUAUUCACCACGACAAAAGCAAGACAUGAUGCAAACCCUAAUAUGACGCAUGAACAGAUCAAAAUGCAAGGGAUGGCAUGGAAAUUCACCUCACACAAACUCUACACAUUAAGUGAAGCUUGAUAUGCAAUGGGUUGCAUAUCGACGAAACUCCACGAUCAAUUAUUCCAUUCACUCCCGAUUAUUUACACGGCAAUAUUAAAUGUUGUUAACAUGGCAAGGGGUGAGCGAUGAACCUACAUGACAACCUAGUCGACAGCACGUCGGACUUAGAACGGAGCUACGGCACAAGAACAUGCAACACAAGAUUAUAUACCAUGAAUGCAACAUGCAUGCAAUCAUGAAAACGCUGGAAAGAAGGAUAUGAAGCAGGUGUCGCCAUGGCGAACGAGAGGGGAACUAUGGCGGCAAGCGGAAACAAUGCCACGGCAACAUUUCGGUCCCGAUAACUCAAUGAGGUAUCGAUGCCAACGAAUUGAGAGCGUGUGCGUGUCAUGCCAAGAAUGAUGGGGUGAUCUCGGUUACCGAGUUCCCAUGUGUCAGGCACGGGAAAAAAGGGACAAUGUGCAACUAUCAUGGCAUCUAAGAAAUGAACAACUCGCAAGACAUACAACAAAGCAUGCCUCGAAAAAAAUCACGACAGGAAAAACAAAAUGACAUGAAUAUGCAUGGGCUGAAUUGCAACAUAGUGAAGCGCCCAGAAUUAAAUCAAACCCGAGGGGUUGAGUGUGUGUAUGUGCCUAACAAAAGGAAAAAAAUAAAAUGACAAAGAAAUUUGGUAUAGCCUGGGAAUCGAACCCCCAACCUCUAGGUGGUAAGCAAGCAAACAGACCAGUUGGGCUACCACAUGUGUUACUAACAAAAUAAAUCAGUCAGUUUACAAGAACUAGCUAAGAGACGUAGUGCAGAUGUGAAUGCAAAAUAAAAAAAGAAAACAGUGAAACAAAAUGUGUUGUGCACGUGAAACAAACAGUGAACAGGGCUAGACAUGGCUGUGCAAAAAAUGGCAAAGGGAAUUCUGAGAUUCGAACCCAAGACCACUUGGAUGCAAACCAGAGGCGCUAGCCACCAUGCUACGGAAGUGUUUGUGUCCUACUCCGGACGCUGUAAGUUUGAACUAAUACCAGGUCGUGGCUUAGUCUCCCACAAAAGCACGGGGAACUCACCAUGAGAGGCAGCAGACAGACAUGGCGACGAGGAACACACCGGAGAUCCGAGCCGCGGGAACGGUGGGGAACGACGCUAGGGUCCGGAUCCGGUGAAGAACGACGGCGAGUGGCGGUCGGACCUCCCGAUCCACGACACUGGAGGGUCGCCAUGGCAUGUCCUCUGCGGCUGCAAGCUCUGUUGUUCCUGACAGAGAAUGGAAAAAACGAAAGAGAGAGAGAAAGGAAUUCAGACAGUUGUAAGGAGAGGGAAGGAGCAGAAGGAAGGUAAUGGAAGAUGGGGAGGGAGGACGACGUGCUAGGCAUUGGUGACACGGGGCUCCGGCGAAAACGCGGCCUGGCCUGGCCAUGCCCCGUUGCACUCCUGUAGCUGCAAAAAAUCAGAGAGAGACUCUGAGACAGGACAGCACGGGGAGGAGGGAAACAACGUGAAGGGGACCGGAGGGACGCGGGGUUCUGGCCAGCUGGUCGGUGACGAGGUUCGAGAAGAAGAAGACAGCGAAGACGUAGUGGAGGCGACCUAGGUCAGGGAAGACGUCUGAACGGACGUAGUCGACGUCGAGGAAGAAGAUGGGCAUGCCGGAUACGACCAAGGUGGCCUCCGAUCACUCAAUCAACAACAGGAAGCUCUCAGCCAUGGUGCUCUAGUUCUCUGUUUCUUGAGGAAGAAGGGAAAACAGACGGAAAGAUGAGAGGUGGCGGCGCGAGGAGGGAGAAGGACGAGCGAGGGCAGGACACGGAUGUGAGGGCAACUAACACGGGCUAGGGAGCUGUACGGCAGCAAUCGGAACGAUGCUAGGAGGAUCAGACGGACAUCCACUCGUUGGAACGAGAGGAAGGGGAAGGUGGAGGUGGGCUAACUGGGCUGCAUCAACAGGUAAGAUAGGGCCUUCAGGUGGGAUGGGCCUCUCUCUCUCCACAGAUUUAAGCAAAAAAAAAACAGAAUGUUGAAUGAAGAUAAGAAAGAGAGGGUUAGGAAAGAAUUUAGACAUGGGGAUUAUUUUCUUGGACUCACAAAAUGAGCUUGACCCAAGAAAUAUAGUAAUGAGCAUGAGUGAAGUUUUUAAUUCGAACUUAUUUGAAUUAAAUUCAAAUGAGUUUGAAUAAGAAGUGGGCAUUGGAAGGUCCAAAAUGUUGAUAAACUAGGAGGAGCUUGGGAAAAAGAUGAAAAAAAGACCGCAAGGUUCGGGGACCAAACUUGGAGUAGAAAAGCAUGGGAUUUAAAAUGUAAGUGUGUUCAUGGGUGAUUCCAAAAUAAUGGAUUAUUUUAUAGUAGCUCCCUAAAUAUCAGGAGGAUAUGUUAUAAAGAGAAUCAUCAUGUGAAUCCCUCAAUUAAAUAGAUCCAAGACCCAUGCAAUUUAUUUAUUUGGGGUGCAGAAACAAAUUAAUGACAUGAUGGCAUGAUGACAUGAUGAAUGCGACAAACAAAAUAAAGCACAUGGCGGCAAAGGAACAAAAGGGAAAUCUUCUGGAGCAUCGGUCUCGGGCUGUCACAGGUACGUAGAUCGGAAAUCCCCUCUCGUAGAUGGACAUCAUCAUGAUAGGUCUUCGUGCGCGUAGGAAAAUUUUUGUUUCUCAUGCGAUGUUCCCCAACAGAAAUUGCAUCAUAUAACCAUUUAAUAUAAUGAAAAUGCAUCAUAUACCCAUUGAAUAAAAAAAUAUAUGCAUGAUAUUAAACUGUACCUGACGGUACAAGAAGGCUAGUGCCGCCGAACCCCAACUCCACUUAACAUCCGAGUCACGAAGAGGAUCCAAAAACAUCCACGAGGCUGUGUCCCCCGUGCCAUCCAGAAACACCACUUGGGUCAAAAGAUUCCAGAGGUAAGCCCUGGCGAACCUCUCCACAACAAGCGGACUAGCAUCCCUUGGGCACUUGCAAAAAUAUCUGUGUAUCCAAGAGAACAACACACCGGAUGGCCUAGGAUCCUUCCUGGCUUCAUUAGUCCAUGGCUCGGGUUCAGCACCAACCAAUGCUGCAACCCGUUGUCUCCAUCCAUCGGACCUAACCUUCCCUGUAAGAGCCCUGCCCUCGAUAGGAAGCCCGGUGAUCAUACCAAUGUCCUCGAGAGUUAUUGUCAUCUCACCAAGAGGAAGGUGAAAAGAGUGCGUCUCCAGCCUCCAACGGUCCGUAAGGGUGGUAAGGGCCGUGGCGUUCAACCAUAGUGGUGUCCCUUUAAAGUUGAGCACAAACUGAAGAAGAUCCAUUCUUCUAAAAUAAGGCUCAUACCGAGGGUCAUAUAACAGAGAUUCAUUCGGGUUGUGCCCCCUCAAACGAAGUACUGGAGGAACCUAAACCAACAAACGCAUAAUUUGUCACUAUAUGAAAAUCAUGGAAUAUACUCCCUCCGUUCCUUAAUAUAAGUCUUUUAAGAGAUUUCACUAGAAGACUACAUACGGAGCAAAAUAAGUGAAUCUAUACUCUAAAAAAUAUCUAUAUACAUCCGUAUGUAGUCUCUUAGUAGAAUCUCUAGAAAUCGAGAAAAAAGCCGAUGUUGAUACCUUUUUGAUCUUUUUUUCCAGUCUACAAUACAAAUCUUGUUGCGAAGCACACUUCGCGAUCAUAUGAUACGGGCAAAGCAAAGAAUGCGGUGGUACAAAGACGAAGCGGAGGAGACUUUCGACCAAACAAAACCUCUUGGUUUACUAGUUGGCAGCAUGGAUUGCUAUUCGUUCGACUACCACUAGUCUGCUUAAGUUGACGGAUAAGACGGAUGACUAUCGGCAUUGCUGUCGUCAUGACACAGCCUCUUUCACUUCUCGUAGAAGAAGGAUGGAAUAAGACUUAUAUUUAGGAACGGAGGGAGUAGAAAAAUAAUCAUCAAGACCAUCAUAAUUACCUCUCCUCUUUCAACUAGCACCACACGAUGCUUCUGCUCGUAGAACUCAUCAAGUCCCGGAUAUUUAUCCGGCUGAAACAUCCUACAUAAUAUGAACAAAAUUCUUUUCGGCAUUAAAGUAGAGUGUGAACUAAAUCUAGGCAUUAAACUAGUGUGCCAAAAAAGCUACGCAUUCACCUACUACCGCUAAUAUGAACUAAAUCUAGACAUUCACCUAGUGCCACUAAUAUGAACUAAACCUAGGCAUUCAUCUAGUAUCAAUAAUAUGAAGUACAACUAGGUUAUACCUACAACCACCAUAAACUACACCUAGAACCACCAUAAACUACACCUAUUAACCAUCACAAAAUAGAUUUUACUUCAAAACAUACGUUACACCUAGUGCAAAAAAAAAAUUCUACACAAAUAGAAAGUCAUUGCAAAAACUAAUUGGAGGGAUUGGAGGAGCUUACCGACCUCUUCGAUUUGCCCCAAAGAACCAACAAAACGAUUGAGGGAGGAGGGAGAUCGAAGGGGAGGAUCUGGAGGUCGAGAGUCUCUUUGUUCGUCAAAGAAACGAACCAGAGAAGAGGAGAAAGGGAGUUGGUGGCCGACAGGGUCGGGCUGGCAAUUAUAAAGCCAAGAAACGCCAGGGUGCCUCGCGUUUCACCUCAGGCCCGCAACGCCACAGUGUGUGGCGUUUCACACGGCCAGAAACGCCACAGUAGUUAGGCGUUUUGUGCAUGUCCAGAAACGCCACAUUAGAGUGGCGUUUCUCUGUAGAGCUGCAACACCACGGACUAUGGCGUUUCAAAAGGGUCAAAACGUGAAAUUGUUUCCAAACGAGUUCGUUUCGUGAUUAACUUCCCCCCUCGGGUCAAAACAGUGAAAAAAUUCCCAAGUAGUGGGAAAUGAAUAAAGGACGGAGGGAUGGAGGCGAUGCGUGAGGUAGACUACACAGUUCACCCCCAUUAUAUAUAAAUACAACCAGCAGAAAGAAGAAGGUAAUGCCGUGUGCAUAAGGAUCAAGUAAUAUGUUCCACACGAUUGGUGUUCAACCACGAGAAAGUAUAUAUAAAAUAAGAAAUGCAUUGUUGAUCUAGAUUAAUGGAAAAAUGUGAUAGUCUAGUUUAAAAGUUUACAUCACAUCUCUCCCUAAUAGUAAAGCGUCGACUGCUUCUGUCGUCCGUCGUGCCACUUUUACAAAAAAGCCCUUGACGUUUCCUGAAAUCAACCCAAUGUCCGGAUUUAAGUUAGAAAACGAAUCGUUUUUUACAUUUUACAUAAAAACCCCUAUAUUUAAUCGAAACUAACCCACAGUCCCGGUCCGGUGCAGUCUAAAAUAUAAGUUGGUUUCAAAUUGCCCCUAAAGUUCACUAAAAUUACCCACCAAUGCCACCUAUAAGUCAUAGAAAAUGUUUCAAACAGGAAAAUCUCCGGACAGGGCCGGCCCAUGUAGGCACCUCCUAUAUUACGGUCUCGGCGUUGGAAAAAGAUGCAACACACCUGUUUGGGCCGGGCCAUGUGUGGGCGCCUUUUUUUGGUUUAGUUUUUUUAUUUUUCUUUUCAGUUCCUUUUUCUUAUUAUNNNNNNNNNNNNNNNNNNNNNNNNNNNNNNNNNNNNNNNNNNNNNNNNNNNNNNNNNNNNNNNNNNNNNNNNNNNNNNNNNNNNNNNNNNNNNNNNNNNNNNNUUUAAAUAAUUUAGAACUUCAAAUAACUUUUUUCAAUUUUAAGAAACUGAGAAUUUUCGAAAUAAAAUAUUCAGAAAAACAUUUAAAAAAUUCAGAAUCCAAAAACUACUCAGGAGUUUUGAAAAAUGUUUGCACAUACAAAAAAAUGUUUAAAUUUUAAGAAAAUGUUCAUAAAAAAAAAUCAAUGAUUGUAAACAAAAGUCCGUGUAAAAUCUUGAAAACAGUUCGUGCCUCUGUUUUUAGUCUCGUUUUUUAUUUUCAUUUUUCUGUUCCAUUUUUCAAUUUAAAUAAUUUAGAACUUUCAAAAACUUUUACAAUUUAUAAAACUGAGAAUUUUAAAAUAAAAGUUUGAAGAAAACAUAAAAUGUUUGUGAAUUCAAAAAAUGCUCGGGAUUUUUGUAAAAAUAUUCGCAUAUUAAAAAAAAUCAUAAUUUCGAGAAAAAUGUUGGUGAAAACAAUAAAAGUCCAUGAUUUUCAAAAAAAAGUUUGUGUAUUAUUUGUUGAGUGCAAUUGAAAAAAUUGUUUGCUAAUUCAAAAAAUGUUCAUUUAUUUCAAGAAAUGUUCUAAAAUUUUAAAGACAUAAUAUGAUCAGCACCAUUAAAGAUUUCAAUUGUUUUUUUUCGUUGCAACGCACGGGCUCUUUUGCUAGUAAAAAUAAGGACACUACUCGUUCCCCGUUUGUUGUAGAUAACAAAGGAGAACUUUUCAGCAUAUGGGAUUCAUGGUCUAAUCGGGGCACCUAAAGUAUGUCCUCCAAGUUUGGCUCGAACCAUAUGGCAUUUAUCGGCUCAAUGGCACAAAAGGAAGGGUAGUAAGAGCAUCGUUUCCCUUGGAGCGACUAGUCUCCAUCCCGGCCGAGGCAUCGUUUCCCUUGGAGCGCCACCAUGUCCGUCGUCUCGUCCGAGAGGCGGCAUCCGUCGAACGGGGCGACGAGGACGGGUUUGCUCGUGCCAUUGAAAUGGAUCAUCCAUGGCUGAUGCGGCUGCGGCGUCUUGGCCAUCGUUCUAACUCCUUCGAUCCCAAGUUCCCAACUGUUGCACAUCGAUGUGGCUACAUAAAAGGUCAACCUAGUCCGUCCGUGUCGGGCUUGACUUCGAUCGAUACUAAUGUUAUGCGCUGAAUCUGUUGCAGCUUUCGAUUCUUCUUGCCUUUUUUAGCGGAAUAGCCAAUUUUAUGGAAAAGACUUCCAUUUAACCGGCUGAUUAUAGCUCUCACGUCCGUCUGGCACUACGCCGUCUGAUCGGCCGAGAGCUGCGCGCCCAACCAGUCGAACCUAAUACUUGUAUAUCGGCCACGCACUUUUUAAAACUAGAUCUGAUGGCUGACGCCCCAACCGAUCUUUUGAAUAGAUCGACCGGCGAACGUGUAACAUCGUCCCAACUUUAUUCAUCAAAUGCGUACAUAUUGACCUUGUUUUCUUUGUGUGUGUUUUUCUGCUUUGAGAGGAAAAUUUUUAAAAUCCUUAAUUAAGAAGCAUUCUUUGCAAAGUUCAUCCAACCUUUCUAGGUUAGGACAAUUGGUGCAUCUACAGUGGCUCUCGUGAAAGAAGGAAAAUGUUUUUUCCAUUUUCAAGAUGCAUGGUUAUGCCUCUCGCGGAACAAAAUUGUGUCUCUCGUGAAAGAAAAAAAAAUUGUUUCUGAAAGGCACAACUGUGUCUCUUGUAAAAGCAAAUUCAUAUAUCUUGUGAAAGCAAAAUCAUGCCGUUCACAAAAAAAACAUGUUUUUUCUUUUCCAAUAGACACUGCCUUUCGUGAAAAUAAAUUCAUACAUCUCGCGAAAGCAAAUCCAAGUCUCUAGCAGAAGCAAACCGUCAAUCCAAUAUCUAUUUAUUCGAUAUUUUCUUCUCAAUGUCUCAUGUCUCCCCACCAUAUUUAGAUUCUGUUGCUGCUUGCUACAUGCGCUACCUAACUAGAACCUUAACCAGACUACCAGACGCAUCGCCGCCGACCGCCCAUGGCCUUCUUCCCAACAAAUCAAAGUUCGUUUCAAUCCUUUUUGUUUAUGUGUUCUGUUUCUAACGCAUCAUAAGGUUUUAGUGAACUAAUCACUAUAUCUAAAAACCAUGCUCUUGAUAAGUUCGAAGCAAAAUAAUAGAAUGGCAUUAUAUAAACAAAUUGGAGGUUUUGUGAGGGAAUGAUUGUGACAGCCCGAUGUCGACGUUCCAGAAGAUUCCUUCCUUCUUUUCCGUUUUCGUCGUGUGUCUAUUUUUAUUUUGUCGCAUCAUCCUCGCAUCAUGUGCAUCAGCACUCCGUUGCCGCCAGUUUUCAAAACUUGAAUUCGUUGUUAGUUGCCGGUUCUCGUCGUUGUCCGUUCUCAGCCCGACCACACACGCACGCGCCUGCAGCAACGUUUAAAUCUUGUUUUUAAAAGUGUGCGUAAAACUUUCUCUGAUUGGGUUGAGAUUUGACGUGCGGUCUUAUUUUAAUAUAGGUAGGCCGCCUGUUAAAUUUCGUCGCGAUCGGAGUCCGUCUGGUACCCGAACGGUCGACCGUAGCGGCACCGUAUUCGGUCUACCGUCGGACGAAUGUCGGUGUUUUAAAAAUCGUCGCCGCGCCGCCCGUUUUCCCUCUCGUCUCCGGUUAACCAUUCUACACGACCACUUACCCGUUCCCGCGUUCGGAAUUAUUCGAAUCUGACCGCACGGUUGGAUCCGGAACGAAAUUCCGGUAAACCUAGCCCCCCUUUGCCUAUAAAUAGGACCUCGCGUGCAUUUUUAGACAACCCCUCCUUCCACCUCGGGAUCCGCGCCCCUCAAACCCUAGCCCCACUCUCUCUCCCGCAGCCUCUCUCUCCUCAGCCGUCGUGGGCCAGCCGAGCCCAUCCGAGGCCCGCCCAGGCCUGGUCGCGCCGCCCCUCGCCCGUGGCGCCCCAGCGAGGAGGCGGUUCCUCCUCAAUCUGGAUCGGGAGGCAACCUCGGGAUCGGCCUCCCUCACCGUCUGGCGAGCCCCGGUCGCCGGAGCACCGCUAGGACCGGCCCGAGUCGCCGCGUUGGAGUGCCCCUUCGUCGGAAGCCAGCGGAGCCUCGCCGCCCUCCGUCGCCGCCUUCUCUUCUCGCCGUCGUGGCCUGCACCUCCGGCCCGCGCCGCCCCGAGCCCUCGACUUCGCCGGUCGGCCCUGCCAUCCCUCGGGCUCCCUGCGUCCCGUGUCGUCGUCCCGCCUCGCUGCAUGGCCGCCGCCAUGGCUGCCGCGAGCGCCUCGUGCGGGAGGAGGACGACCAUCGCCCGAGCCGCCCAGCCUCGCAUCGCCCUGGCCGGUGGGCCGAUCUACCCGAGCCAUCCCAGCUGGGGGUGGCCUCCUCCCCUGCUCGGCCCACUACUCCAGCUCACCAACCGGCCCAAGGUGACCAGCCCCCCUGCAUCUCUAUUUUGUUUUCGCCUAGGGCGUUGUUUAGUUAUUCUACGCCCGAAUUAGACCCGGCAGAUUUUUGUUCUUUUAGGGAUUUUUUGGUUUAGUUAAUUCCAGAAAAUAGACAAUAUUAGAAUGCCCGUAACUUUUAUUCCGUAAGUCGGAUCGCGACGUGUAGCAUAUGUGUUUUGUGUAGAUUUUCACGUAGAAUACGAUUUUAUAACUUGCAUAUUUUUUGACGUAGUUUAGCGUGCCGAAUGCAUAGUUUUACGUGUUGUUCCAAUAGGUUUCGUCCCGUAUUAUUUUCUCGUGUGUGUCCGGAUUGCCCGAAUGUCGUAGAUUAAAUGUUCAUGUUUUUUGAACCCCUUUGCCAUGUAUUUUAGAGUAGUCAUUGAUAUUUUUGCGUGUAGGGAUUUACCGCUAGCUUAUUUUCCGUAUUUAGGACAUUAUCUUGCAUUUACGUGUGGCGAUAUUUUGUGUUGCAACCCCACAUGUUUUAUAUAUUUUCGGGGUAGAAAAAUCCUUUUUAGUUUUAGCUUUUGAGCAAGUUAGUUCGCGCCAUAUUUUGCCAUGUUGCCCUCUUGUCUAUUUCGUAGGAUUUAUUCCGUGCUACGUUUGAAGGAGUUGUCAACUAGAGAGUUGCCCUUGGAUGUUUACUCUAGCCCCUGGUAUUUUUGGUUGCAAUAGAAAUUCAUGUUUAGGUGUGGUUUGGUUGUUCUUUACUUGCUAGGAAAUAGUGUUGUUUUAGAGAUGCUGAAAUAUUUCUAAGUUUGAAUCUGUUAUAUUUUGUUGCUGUCUUGUCUUGCUUCUAUCUUGUGAUCUGUAGCUUUUUUGAGGUUGGUGCAAUGGAGUUAGUUGUAGACUUUAGGAUUCUCUAGCAUGCUGUGAAUUUUCAUGCCAUUUGGAGUCCUGUAGGUUAUGUUCUUACUGCUGUCAAUAUGUCUUCAUAUUGAAAACUGCAGCUUCAUAAACUGCUAUUUUCACUAAGUCUGAAAUAGUGUGUGAGAUGUCAUUUUGUGACUUCUUUUCCUAGUGUUCCAUGCGUCCAUGCUAGUUGUUGUUAGUUGUAUGUUGUAGUGCUUCUUGCCAUCUAUCGUGUCAUACCUUUGUUGAGUGUAUUGUAGUUGAGUAGCUCGUAAUUGUGGGGUGUAGAAAAUGCUAUGUGGCUGGUUUUGCCAGAUUGUAAUGUUAUCUUGUUUAGCUCGUAGUUUUUGAUCCGUAGCUCCGUUUUGAUCGUGCCAUAUAUGAAACUUGCUUAGAAUCUCGUGUAGUUUCAUUUUAUCUUGCUGGUUGUAUGUUUUGAAGUGCUUGUGAUUGUCGUUGCACACAUUUUGCAUUCAUGCCAUCAUAUCUUACGGUGCUUGUAUCUUUUGAUCCGUAGCUCCGUUGGAGAUGUUCUCUAUGUGUAAAUUGCUUGUAACAACGCGUAGAAUCACGUAAACCUAUUUGUUUUGCUGUUUAACAACUAUUUAAACGCGUUAGUUCAGAUCUGGACAGAAUUGUAAAUUAACAUGUGAGGUCGUCUCGGAGAUGCUAUAUGUCAUUUCCGACCUCAUUUAAAAUGCCUAGAUAGGUAGAUUACUUACGCUUCACCUCUUGCCAUGUAUAACCACAUUUAAUAUUGCCAUGUACCUAAUUGGGAUAGAACUAAAUAAUUAAACGGAGAGUUUCGUCAAUAUGCAACUCGUUGCAUAUUGAACUUCACUUAAUGUGUAGUGUUUGAGUGUUGUGAACUGCCAUGCCGUGACUUGCAUGUAUUCAACAUGUUCAUGCAUCAUAUGUGUUGUGCAUCGUGUGGUGAAUUUCGUGUGUUGAUGCUUGUUUCCAGUUUCCUCUGUCUCGAUAGAGUUCCGCAAGCGUGUCGGAUGUGAGGACCCGUUCGACUACAUCGGCUCGUCUGCUUCACGGAGUCGUUCUUCUUCCAAGCGGGAUCUCAGGCAAGAUGACCAUUUCCCCAGAUACCAUUACUAGCAUUGCCAUGCUAGUUUUAUCGCUUCUAUCGAUUAUGUCUCGUUGCCUACCACAUGUUAAAUAUCAGCCUCUCAACAAUGCCAUGAAAACCUUCAACCUGUUCAACCUAGCAAACCACUGAUUGGCUAUGUUAUCGCUUGCUUAACCCUGUGUUAGCGUUGCUAGUUGCAGGUGCAGUUGCUUCCAUGUGUUAACAUGGGUUCCUUGUUAUAUCACCAUAUUAAAUGCUAUUUAAUUUAAUGCACCUAUAUACUUGGUAAAAGGUGGAAGGCUCGGUCUUUCUAGCCUAGUGUUUUGUUCCACCUUUGCCCCCUUAGUUUCGGCUACCGGUGUUAUGUUCCAUAAUUGAGCGCUCCUAACACGAUCGGGGUUGUUAUGGGGACUCCCUUGAUAAUUCGUUUUAGAUUAAAGCUGGUCUGACAAGGCCCAACAUUGGUACUAUAUUUUCCCAACAUAAUAACUUUGUUAAUAUUGAAAGCAUAAGGCGUCAUGAACCCGAGGAGUAAUUCUACAUAAUAUAGGGAGGGCCAGUGCUGAUGGUGCUGGUUUAAAAUAGAGCAGCUUACUAACGCUACCCGGGGCAACUCGGCAUUUGGCGUGGUAACCAUCGCUCAUCCGUCAUGUCUUGAGAACGAGAUACGCGGCUCCUAUCGGGAUCGUCGACACGUCGGGCGGCUUUGCUGGAUUAGUUUUACCAGAUAUCUUGUGCUUCGGGAUUCCGAUGAUGCUUUGGGUAAUCUCAGAGUUGAGAUUUUCCACUAAGGAGUCCGACGAGAUCGCGAGCUUCGUGAUCGAGGAUUUCUAUGCGGCUUGUGGUAAUUUGUGAUGGACUAGUUGGAGCACCCCUGCAGGGUUAAAUCUUUCGGAAAGUCGUACCCGCGGUUAUGUCGCAAUGUGGAAACUUUGUUUAACACUGGUUCUAGAUAAUUUGAAGUUAAUUUAAUUAAAAUAUGCCAACGGUGUGCGUACCCGUGACUGUCUCUUUCGUGAGUUCCUUCUCCGAUCGAGGACACGGUGGGGUUAUGUCUAACGUAGGUAGUAGUUCAGGAUCAUUCAUUUGAUCAUCAGUAGUUCACGUCCGUUAUGCGUAGAUCUUCCCCCUCUUAUUUCUUGUACUCGUAAGUUUAGUCACAAAUACAUGCUUAGCCGCUGUUGCAACCUCAUCACUUAACCAUACCUCACCUAUUAAGCUUUGCUAGUCUUGAUACCUUUGGAAAUGAGAUUGUUGAGUCCCCUGUGGCUCAUAGAUUACUACAACACCAGAUGCAGGUACAGGUAAAGGUUACUUGACGCGAGCGCGUUGAUUGUUCACUUGGAGUUGCUUCUUCUUAUUCUUCUUCUUCGUAGAUUUAGGAUGGGUUCCAUGCCGGCAGCCUGGAAUAGCAAGGAUGGACGUCGUUCUUCUUUUCUCGUUUGUUUUCGUCCGUAGUCGAACCCUGCUGUUCUUCAUAAUGUUUAUGUAUUGUACUGCUGUGACUCUGAUGUGGCUUGUGCCGAGUGUAAGCCAAUUAUAUAUAUAUAUCUCUUCUUUUUCAGUACAUGUACUUGUAAUGAUAUCCAUUUUUGCGAAAUGACGAGAUGCGCUUCUAUCCCUGACGAGGCCCUCAUGCCAAAUUGAGGAUAUGGUCGCAUCUUGGACGUGACAAUGAUAAAAGGAUGGCACAACUAAAUAAUGUACAUUCUCUGACCUACAAAAUUAUACUAAACCAAGGAAAAUUAAUAUGGACCGGAGGGAGUAUUAAUUUUGAGUUUUGAGAAUCACAUUUUCUAUAUAAAUUUUUGUUUCCCUAAUUGCCCAAUGGUUAGAAUAAGGGCCUAAUUAUGUAUGGGAUCCCCAUUUUAUUGGGCUCAGCCAUGUGGGCGGGCCCAAGAUGUGGAACGUCUUUGCUACCGUACACUAUAAAUUUUCUACAUUAACUCCCUUUUUCUGUUUUUUCCUGUUCUGAGAGGAGUCUUCCAAUCGAAAUUACUAGUUAACUAGUACUUUUUGUAAAGGUCACUCCCACCUAUUCAGAUUGUGAUAAGUGUCGCACUGCAUAUACGUCAUUUGUCGUAAUCAAAGAGUUUUUUCUUUUUUUUUUCAUAGAUUCAUCUAUUCAAAAUGUUUUAUCUCUCAUACCACACGUCCAAAUCUCGAACCUUUUUAUCAUUGUAUUCCUCGCACCUAGAUAUGCAAAUAUAAAUCACUUGUUGAUAGAUUUUGGCAUACAUUUUUUUCAUGAAAAAAUCAAACGGGGGCACUUUUUGCCUUUUCGAUAGGCAUCGAACGAAAAAAGCGAAUCGGGAGAAACUUUUGCCUUUUAUAUAGGCAUGAUUGUCCCCAUGCGGAAGCAAAUCGAUGCUUCCAUGAGAACUAAUUUCGAGCCUCUCAUGGUAGGAAAAAUAAAUAUGUAUUUUUCUUUUUACGAACGGUAUGGCCAUGCUACUCGCCUAAGAAAAUACGUGCUUCCAUGAGAAGUAAUCCAUGCCUCCCGUGAAAGGAAUAAAAAGGAGAAAAUACCUUUUUUUUUUCUUUUUGAGAGCCACGGUCAUGUCUCUCUUAGAAGAAAAUUAGUGAUUCUAUGAGAAGUAAAUCCGUACCUCUUGUGGUAGGGAAAGAAACACGUUUUUCUUUUUCUUUUAUGAGGGACACGACCGUUUCUCUCGUGUAAACAAAUCUAUAACUCUAUGAUAAGUAAAUGUAUGCCUCACGUAGUAGGAACAGAAAGAAAACGUGCUUUUAUCCUUUUGCGAGGGGCACGGGCGUGCCUCUCAUGGACGCAAAUUCGUAACUUCAUGAAAAGUAAAUGUUUGCUUCUCGGGAAAGGAAAAAAUACGUUUUUUCAUGCUAAUAUUUUUUUGAAACCUAAGAAAACCCUUGAAAAACGUCUUAAAAUGGAAACGCGUGAACAUUGUGAAAUCAUUAAUUGAGAAGUACUCUUUCUAAAGAUCAUCUCCACCUUCCCAUGUUGUAACAACUGACGCAUUGCAUGUGUGUCACUUGUCACAACUUAAAAGUUUUCCUUUUUUACGUAGAUCUGUAAUUUUAUAAUGUUUUAUCUCUAAAAUUGUGCAUCCAAAUCUUAAAGCGUUUUCAUUAAUGGGUUUCUCGCGCUGAGAUCUUCAAAAUUAAAACCUAUCUUGAUAGUUUUUGACAAACUUUUUUCAUAAAAAAAAAAUGAAAAAACUAGGCCUCUCAUGAUAGAUAAAACAGAAAACGCGUUUUUUUCCUCGUCAUGCUUUUCGCAAAAAAAACGCAUUUUUUUUUAUUUCCGAGAGGCAUGGUCGUGCCUCUCGAGGAAGAAAAACCGUGCCUCUCACAAAAAAAAACAGCACACCUUUUUUUUCAUUUCCGACAGACAUCUCGGAAAAGCAAAGCCGUGCCUCUCCCGAAAGAAAAAAAUGCCUCUCGUAGAAAAAACAGAAAACGUGUUUUUUUCAUUUUUAAGAGGCAAGGUCGUAUCUCUUGCGAAAGCAAAACCGUGCCUCUCAUAAAAAAAUAUGUUUUUUGCGUGAAAAUGUGAAUAAAUAUCAUCAAAAAGCAAAGAAAGACUGAUAAAAAAUCAAAAGACAAAAAAACCGGAUCUCAAUCUGUUCUUAUGACUUAUGAUUUUUUUGCUUGAGCAGUUCUUAUGACUUAUGAUGUGUAUCAUAAAAGAACAUGCUUGUUGGGCGCCACUAUGCCUCGCCUUCAGCGAGAGAGGAGACCUAAAUGGGUCGGCCCAGUGGCAGGGGAAACCACAACCUCCUUUUUUCAGAAUCAUAAACUUUUUUCUAUAUCUGAUAAACCCUUUCUUCAAAAUCAAUGAACUUUUUAUCAUUUUUUGAACUCGAUGAAUUUUUUUGAAAAGUCGAUAGUCUUUCUCAAAUUUGAUGUUUUGCUUUCAAAUUUGAACAAAUUUUCUUCAAAUGGAUGAAUUUUUUCAUAUUUGAUGAACGCUUUUCUCUAAUGGAUUAACUUUUUUCAAAUCUGAUGUUUUUAUCAUUUUUUGUAAAAUUUGAUGUUUUUUUAGAAAAAAUGAACUUUAUUAAAGUUCUUGAAUUUGUUUUUGAAAUACAUGAAAACAAAUUAAAUUCACGAUUUUCCCUUUUUUAGUCUUCUAUUUUUCUUGUUUUUUCUCAAAAUUCAAUGGUUUACGAGUUGACUGAUCAACUGUGACCAGUCCAAUACGAAAAAAGUACAUCUACAUUUGUUUCAAAUGGAUGAAGCUUUUCUCAUAGGAUCGUGAUAACACACAUACGUAUGAUAGGAGCAACAACAGCCCGCACGUCCGAUGAUCACAUGUUGAGCCAUAUCACCGCAUGCAUGCACAAGUUACAAAAUUGUUGAUAUCAUAUGAAAUCUUAUGUCUAUAGUUUUUAAAAUAUUUUAUCUCUUAAAUAAAAAAUCCAAUUGAAAAACCAUUUUCACCCUUAAAUCUGUUGCGACGAGUUCUUUAAAACUAGAUCUCAUAUUGAUAUGUUUCGACGACUUUUUUUCGGUGUUAAAAGUUAUCACGUUCAUUGCACAUAAUUUGUCAUCAUGAUUACACUGAAGUUGUUAUGAUGAAAAUGGAUUUUUAAUUAGAUUUUUUGUUUAAGAGAUAAAACACUUUUAUGUCUAGAAAAUUAUAAAAAAAAUUACUAAUGUCAUAUAUUUAAUGUGAGAAGAUGGAUGGUUACGAAGACGUGUCAACCAUUUUGGCAAAUCUUAUUUGGCGACCGUUAGCAAACGGCGGCUGCAGCGCAACCCCUCAAUUAGCGAUCUGGGCCGGCCCAUGUAAGUGUGCUUCAGGAGUGGAAGUCGAGAUCAAUUACUUCAUCUACAACGAAUAUAACCACUACGCCAUCGACUAACUAGUGAUUCCUAAUUUAUUUUCUCUUAUUUGUUCUCCUAUUUCACGUGAAUCCUCCCAAACCGGUUUUUUACUGGUUUGUGGUCAUUCCGGGAUGAAUUAUUUGUUUUUCCUUUAUUUUGUGCUUUUUUCAACUCGUUUUUUUUCAAAUCAAUGAUCUCCAUUUUUCUGAUUAAAAAAUCAAUGAACUUUUCCAAUUUGGAUCUAUUUUUAAGUUUAUUAACUUUUUUAACAAUCGGUAAACUUUUUUUCAAAUUUGCUGAACUAUUUAAUAAUCCAAUGAACUUUUUAUCAAAUUAGUUGAAUUUUUUUUAAGUUUGAUCUUUUUUAAAAACAAUUGAUGAACUUUUUGCAAAUGUGAUGAACUUCUUUUCAAAUCUAGUUAAGUUUUUUAAUUAUUGAUGAAUUAUUUUUAAAGAUCUAUUAACUUUUUUCAAAUAUGAUGAACUACUUUUCAAAUCAUAAUUGUUUUCUUCAAAUAGAUGACCUUAUUUUCAAAGUCCAUGAUUUUAUUUUUCUGAAACUCGAGAACUUUUUUACACAUUGAUGAACUUAAUUUUAAAAUUUGAUGAUCUUUUUAAUUGUUUUUAACUUUUUGUGAAAGUCUAUGAACUAUUUUUUUUUCAAAAUUGAUGAACUGUUUUAAAACCAAUAAUUUUUUUUCAAAUUUGAUUAAAGUCGAGUAAUAUAUUUUUAAAAAUCUAUGAGCAUAUUUCAAUUUUGAUGAACUUUUACCAAAUCUGAUGAACGUCUUUCAGAUCGAUUAUCUUUUUUUAUAAAAAAAAUCUUGUUCGCAUCAAUGUUUUUUUUUCAAAAUCGAUUAACUUUUUCCAAAUUCAAUGAACUUUUUUUCUAAAUUCGGUAAAUAUGUUUUAAAAUUAAUGUCCACAAAUCCAAAAAUAUUAUCACGAUAUUUUUCCAACUAUUAUGUAUCAAUGAAUAGUGAUGCGAGCUUGUUAUUAAGACUUUCAUACUAUAAAAAAUCAGUUAAGUCUGCUAGGUGUAGUGGUUAGUGAGUUCGGUUGUGUAAUUGACGUCUUUAGUUCGAAUUGUGUAGCUGCUACUAUUUUUGGGAUAUUUCUGCGCACGUUUGCUGGCCGAAGUGUUUUAUGAGCCGCCCAAUUAGCAGGGAACGUGGGCGUGGCGCCGGCUAGGAGCUCCCGACCAUAUUGACUCGUGCCAUAUACUCCCUCCGUCCGCUAAAGACUGCACGUUUAGUGAUUUACACAUAGAUCAAGGAAAGAGCUGACUUUGCUCCCAUGACCUAAUUAACACAGAACAUUGAAAGACACAUGUGUGCAUGCAACCAAUGAAAAAAGACCAUUAAAUGAAUAUUGGUUGCAUGCAGUAAUUAAGGCAGAAAUCAAAGGGGAUAAAAUACAAUAUGCAUUGGGGUUGUAGAUUAACACUCUUUCUUGGACAAUUUAUAAAUACUAGAUGUCCAGUCUUUUCCGGACGGAGGGAGUAUGUGGGCAUUACAAUUUCAGUUUUCAUAUUGGACAAACGAGCUGUUAGGGGAGGAAACUCGCGAGAUGUGAUGGCGAUCUUCUACAUGGCCCGGCCCAUGACCGUGCGUGCGUGAGCUUUCCUAAAGGAGCUGCCUACAUUGACCCUGCUUUCUUUACGUUCCUUUUCUGUUUUGAGAGGAGAUUUCCCUCAUUCGUGACCGAAGCGCAACCCCUCUGUUGACGCGUCGAGCACGAAGCAUGGUUGAUCUCGGACAAUGUCAUGCUGUGGUGUGCCCGCCGAGCGAGGCAUCGGUCACGGGAUGCGGCGGAGGCCCUCGCGGCGGCAGAUGUUGGAGAGGUGGAAUCACACUCUCCGACGUCCCGUAGGGUGCACCACUUCGCUCGACGCAACCGCGUCGUGGUGAACGCCGGCUCCUCCCACGAAGGAUACGUCAUUGACCUCACGUCGACUAGCACCGUCCGGGUUAUGGGCUCCGACGAGGAAGAUUAAGGCAUGGGAGACGGUGGGAGCUCGACUCCCGUGAGCCGACUAGUGUCUCAUGUCCUACUCUACCUCAUCGGCAACCGGACCGACAAUAUGAGGGGCGCAGCCAGCCGCCGGACAUGGGCACGAUGGAGUCGGACGAGCUCCGCUUAGCAUUAGGUUUACCUUGAAUGUAAUAGUAUGGAUUUGAGGUUUCUAAUUUAAGGUAUCCGGAUGUCGUAGACUGCAUUAUUUAGAGCAACCCCAACGGAAGGACCCAUUUUCGUCCGUCCGUGUUUGUAUAGAUGGGCGUGGACAAAAGUGAUGGCCCAACACGGAGACCCAUUUCCAUUUUGCGUCCGCUUUGUGUCCGCGCGAAACCAUUGUUGUCGCAAAUUUGGGUCAUAUUUGGGUCGCCAACGAACACAAAAACAGACUUUUUUGUGCCUGCAUCGUCCGCAUGUGUCCGGCCUGACCCACUUGUCACACAGCCACCCACCCAUCUCUGCAUACUUAUUUAAUUCGCUGGCCCACCCCAUCCAUUUUCUUCUAUUAUUUUACUGACAUAGUGUUGCUGUCCACUUGCUUCCCGUUGGGUGCAUGUGCUGACUCAUUUAAAAAACAGAUACGAACAAGCAGACGGAUGACUCAAACGAGUAAAAUGCGGACAAAAACGUUAUCCGUUUGGAUCGAUACAUUGAAGUUGCCUUUUAAGGCGUGACCUGUUAAUGUAUGCAUGCGUCUGAAAACGUUCGCGAGUGUUUGAGGAACCGGAUCCGGCCAUAGAUGCUCUAAUGACCGAAAAGUGUCCUUUUUGUUCGGCAUGAGAAAACACAACUAGAUACCAACCUACAGUAGUAGAUCAAGAAAUACCAAUUAAAGCUUAAAAUGUAUGCAUGUGUAUAUGAAUACUUGCGUGUUUAAAAAUAUUAUAGACUCAAAAGAAAAGAAAAUUCCAUUCAUUAAAAUGGCCGGCACACACUUCGAGCAGCCCGGUCGUUUUGGUACCGCAGAAAAAUCCUGCACUCCAAUCAUUUGGCAACCAGAUGCUAGCAGUUGACAAUAUGAGCUUGAACUUAGCUGACACCCACAUAUAUUGGGUAAGUAACUGCAACGAUCGAUUACUACUACCAAUUACCACUAACGAGCUUGAGAUUUGCAACGGGCCUGAGACAGUCGCUGAGACAAGGGAAUCAAUUAAGCAAGCACAGGUGUUACAACACUUUUUAGUGAUUGCCACUUCAGUCAUAUAGAGUGUCAAAAUCACUUAUUACAGCAGUACGCAACUCGACUCGUUCUCAGCACAACACAUAUCAUCCUCCUCCUCUACGUUAAACCCGGAGGCAGCAGCUGUCAGACGACCACUAAAACAUAGCAGCACAAUUACGGUAGAAAAUAAUCCAGCCAUAUGCAGACAAGGAUUAAUAAUUAUGGUAAAUAAUUAAGUAGCCACAUCCAUCCAUGCNNNNN
rnacentral:lncRNA from 1 species